rnacentral:lncRNA from 1 species
GUUUUUUUAUGGCCUGAGCCGCAGGAAUAAUUGUGUGUGUAUGUAUGGAUGUAUGGAUGUAUGUAUGUAUCCGUGUGUGCAUGUGGCGGCAAGGUGGGAGGGAGGAGUUGAAGAGUGGGGAUGAGAUGCACCCGCCGGACCAUACCCCCCCUCCCGCCCCUCCUACCCCCCCUCCUGCCCCUCCUACCCCCCCUCCCGCCCCUCCUACCCCCCCUCCAGGCUCCCGCUACGCCUCCCGCAUCGUGGCCAUUGAUUCGUGUGUUCAGCGGCGACCCCCCACCGCCCGGAUGUGUGCCGAGGACGCGGGAGUGGACCGAGUGGCCCAGCUGCUGCUCACUGACCAGGUGUGUGUGUGUGUGUGUGGGGGGGGGGGGAGCUUGGGGUUAGGGCGCCCGCCCGCGCGCGCGUGUAUGUCCGUAUAUGUAGAGGUGCGUGUGUAGGCGUGUGUUAAAAUAAUCUUAGGAUCACCACCGACGUCGCGUCCCUAGAAUUUGCCAAAGGACAGACAGAAAGAAGAAGUUGUUGUGGUGGUGGUGGUGGUGGAUUUCUUCCUUGUUGGAUGUUGUAUGACCUCUCCUUACCUGCACCUGCACUCCCACCUCCCCACCUCUACCACUCCCUCCUUACCUGCACCUGCACUCCCACCUCCCCACCUCUACCACUCCCUCCUUACCUGCACCUGCACUCCCACCUCCCCACCUCUACCACUCCCUCCUUACCUGCACCUGCACUCCCACCUCCCCACCUCUACCACUCCCUCCUUACCUGCACACCUCCCACCUCCCCACCUCCCCACCUCUAAUAACCUGACCCGAAAAGGACUUCACUUUGGGGCUGUUGCGGGGCAGUGUCCUGGCCCACAGCCCCCCCGCCCUGGCCGCCCUGGCCGCCGCACCCGCCAAGGCGGCGGAUGCCUUCCGACGCGGCUUCAGGGACUGCUUGCGACUUGUGGAGCGAAUCAAGGUGAACCAUGGAAGUGGGGGAAGUGGGGGAAGUGGGGGAAGGGGGGAAGACGAACCACGAGCGAGUGAAGGUGAUGUUGGAGGGGUAAGGGGGAAAUUCAUUUCCUGUUGUGCGUGUGUGUGUUUCUGUGUGUGAGGGAUGGGCGAAGGCGGGGCUUUCGCUUCCAGAGCUCUCGCUUAAAACAUUCUCCUACCAGGCACCUGCUACACACAAAACACCCAACCCCCCACACACGCAUACACACAUACACACACGUACGCAUAUACACACACGCAUAUAUACAGACACGCAUACAGCCGUUCCAUGUACAUCGCAAUCCCCCUCGGAUCCCCUCGGCAUAGGGCCUUCUAGAGAUGAUGUACAGCAAAAUGGACGAAUGGUCACUGGAGUUCAUAAAGGACAUAAAAGAGCUCCGACCCGAGCUGCCAAUACCCAAUCCCGCACCGCUCGGGGGACCUGGCGGCGGCGGCGGGCCGUGCUCCGUCGGCGGCGGCGGCGGCCGGCUGGUGGCGCAUUACGGCGGCCUGAACAUACGCGUCAGCCCGGCGCCGCUGGGCAGCAUCAGCGGCGGCGGCGGCGGCUGCGGCGGCAUCGGCGGCCGGAAUCGGUCGCAGCUAGGCUGGGCUGUUGGCGGCGCCGCCAGCGGCCACAACAGUGGCGUGGGUGAGUGGGUACGGCUGCUGUACUCCUGUACUGCGGCUGCAGUACAUUGCGGCAGUUGUACGACCACUUGCUUGCCUGGUCCCGUGCGCAGGCAGCCCCGCCCGCCCCAGGCCCUCGCUGUCCCCGUACCUCCCCAGCAGCGUCCGCGGUGCUUCGCGCAGCCGUAAUAGCUCCCUUGGCGGUGGCGGCGGGGGUGGCGGCGGAGGUGGCGGAGGUGGCGGCCUGACGGAGGCAACCAGAGGCAGGCCUCCGUCGGCGUUGCGCAGUCGCGGCAGCGCUGCAGGGGCAGCCGGCGCCGCCGCCCGCGCGUUAGCUGCCGCGGCUUGUGCCAUUCCUUCCGCUGCUGACGCCGGUGGCAGCGGUAGCGGUGGCGGCGGCAGCGGCACAGGCAGUGAUGCUCCGACCCUUUCAGGUCGGGGGGGGUCAGCCGCAGCCACGCCUAGCGAUUUCCAUGAUGGCGGUGGCGAUGUCGGCGGCGGUGGCGGUAACGCCCUGGGUAGGGUCGUACUAUCUCCAUUUGCGGCUGCGGGAGCUGAAGCGGCGGCAACGAGUAGCGGCGGUGGCGGCGGCGGUGGCGGUGGCGGUGGCGGCCAGAUCAACGCUGCCGCCGUCGCCGGGUCACCUGCGGGGGCCUUACGUCGUGCUCAGCAGGGCCAGCAGCAUCCGCGGCAUCCGCGGCAAGGCAGAGACGGAUUCGGCGAAGCGAUAUGCAGGACGCGGGAUAGUGGGGGCGGCGGCGGCAGCGGCGGCAGUGGAACGCCGUCGCCGGGUCGAUACCAAUCAGCACGUCAAACUCGACAGCAGCACCAGCAGCACCAGCAGCGCUCGAAGCGCUGUGGAUUGGGCCGAAGUCCGGUUAUCGCCGCCGUCGUUGCGGAAAAGCCGGAGUGGCUUGCCCGCAGUCCAUACCUGGUUUCUGGGCCCGGUAAUGGCGGCGGCGGCGGCGGCAGCAGUGGCCUUGCCGCUAUGGCGGGCCGCUGUCCCGCCUUAACCCCGCCCGCCCCGUUAAGACGCUGCGGCUCGCUCAGCGUCUCUUCUCGUUCCGCAUCCGUCUCCGGCGCUAACAGCAGUAGCAGUAACAGCAGUAGCAGCAGCGGCAGCGGUAACAGCGGGAAGAGCUGCGUUACCACUGAUGCCACAUCCGCCACAGAGUUGGGGCAGGGAAAAGGCGGUAAGGCGGCGGUGCCGUGCAGGACUGGAGCAACGCCGCAGUCGCGCCUGGCGGCGGCGGCGGCAUCGGCGGCAGCCGGGCCCCCAGUCGCCGCCGCCGCCGCUGGGGGAACGCCGUCGCCGUCAUCAAACCUCGGUAAACCGCGUCUACCCCGUAUUGCAGCGCUAUCGUCUCCGAUGGCGCCGUACAGUGACAAUGACGCCGCCGUUGCCCUGGCGGCAUCGACGCCGCUGAGCCGUCGUGUUACGGACGUGCACGGCGCCGCCGCCGCAACGGACGUGCACGGCGCUGCAGUAGUGGGGAUUCCACCGCGGCGGCUAACCGCGGCGUGUGACGCCACCGUGUAUCAUCGGUCUGGCGGCGGCGGCGGCGGCGGCGCUGACAGAGCAGCGGCGGGCCGUUCUGUGGGCGGGUCGCCGAUGCCUACGGCGCUGCGCCUUCGGAGUCUUGGGCUCGCCAGCGGCGGCGGCAGCGCCGCCGCUGCCACCACGGCCGCUGUACCCUCCGCUGCCAGCGGCGGCGGCGGCGGCGGCGGCAGCGGCAGUAUAACGCCUUGCAUGCGGCACAGUCGCAGUUUGGGCCUUAUACGCUCCCCGCGACUCGCCUUCCGCAACACAAGCUCACCACGCAGGUUGUUGCCCAGCCCCGCAACGCCCAAAUUUCGGUCUCCCCUCCUCGAUCCGAUGCCGCUGCUAUCGGCAUCGUCAUCGCCAGCACACGAUAACGGCGGCGGAGCGACGAGCGCGAACAUGACCCUUCACGGAGUGUACUGCAGCGACGGCGGAGCCACGAGUGCCGUAUCCGCCUCGGCCGUUGUCGUGUCGACUACUUUACAGUCUCCAACGGCGAAGGCCGCCAUUCAUGCCCCAGCUCUCCGUGCCCAUCAUUCCCUGCCCUCUGAGUACUUGACGGCGGCGGCGGCGGCGGGUCCGCUGAUAACGUCGGUGAUGACGGCAUCGAAGCCGCCGCUACCGCGCGCAGGCUCCCAUCGCACACCACUGGGCUCAGCUGUAACGUCAGCCGGCGGUGGCGGCGGCGGCGCUGGCGUCGCUGUGCCGUCGACCACUGUGCCGCCGCCGUCGCCCGCGACGGGGCCGAUUCACGUACAUGCGCCGCCGCCGCCGCCGCUGUGUCCGGGAUCCCAGGAUCCGUUACCGGGGGAGGACGGACGCCCGCUGGCCGCUGCGGCGGCCGGCGCCAGCACAGCAGCAGCAGUAGUACGAGGACAGGGCCUGGAGCGGCUUACGGAGUCACCGCCGUGUCUUGCAUCGCUUGGAAUGCGACGCUCCGCCGACGGAGGCGCCGCCGCCAACGUAACUAACCCCGCCGCCACCGCCGCCGCCGCCACCGCUUCGACGAGCAACAGCCCCUUGGGACACUUGUGCAGGCGGCGGCAUUCAGACCAAGAAGAAGGCCCACCGCUGCCGCCGCCGCCGCCACCGCCACCGCAGCAAGGUCACGUCUUUCAGGGCAUGGUUCCAAACCCGGACGUUACGGCGUCAGAUAACAGCACGCCGACAAUCGGGGCCACCUCGAGAGCCCCGUCCUUAGGCGGCCCCGCGACGCCGUUCUACUUCCAUACCGCGGCGGCGGCGGUGGCGGCGGCGGCGGCGGCCCCUGACGCCGCGGCGCCCGUCUCCCCGCCGUUGCUGUCCCACGCUUCCGGUUCCGGACUCAUGUCUAGCUGUGUGACCUGUACCCCGCCCACCGUCGCCUCCGUCGCGGCGUCGUCAACGGCUUCGCCGCCGUUGCGGUCGUCACCGCUGUCCCGUACGCCGCCAUCGUCGUCGUGCACGCCUACCUCCGGCGCUGCCGGCGGCGGCCGUACGACAACAACUGCCGUAUCCACCACCACUGCCACCGCCAGCCCAGCCAGCGCGCUCUCCGUGAAGUCUACAGGCGCAAACGCGACGGCGAAACGGAAUAGCGGGGGAGGUCGCGUCCGCGCCGUCUCCGCCGCCGCUGCCAGUGGCGGCGGAGGCGCUGGCGUCGCGUCUCGGCUUCUGUACGGCGGGGGCAGCCGGGGCACCCCCGGCGGUCUUGGGCGUACAGUCAUGGCCAGGGGCAGCCCUUCUAAAGUCAAUCCGUACGACCAGGUAGUGACGUCAUCUAUGGUCAUCUGUGGAGAGGGUCGGUGGUUUCGGACCGCAUACAACCUGUGGUCUCGGAGCGGGCCUUAAGAGCUAUAACAGUGACAUACAAAGGGACGCUUUUUUCAUCAUUUGCCUGUUAAUCUUAAUGCAUCCGUACAUUGGGUUUCUACCAAAACUUCCUUUUGAAUUUUGCUCCUUUCUAAUUCCCUAAUAAUUCUACCUACCUCGGCACACGAUGGCACAUACAUACAUACAUACGCGCACAGAGACACACUCACACACAGAAGACCACAGAAGACACACAAAUACACACAUGUGCGCGCACCCCCCCCCCUUUUGUCCCUCCUCCCCCCCUCCAGCAGUUCAAAUCCGACAUGAGUUUGACUUUGGCCCUCAAGAGUAUCACCAGCGAGGCGAGGAAGGACGACCUCCUCAGCAACCGAGUCCAGCACUGGAAAGAGCUCUUCAGGUGCCAUGCCGUACAUUACCCUGGCUGUCGUACACUGGGCGGGGUGUUACAUAACUUUUUCAGCCUGGGCUUCGGCUUAGUUGUUUUUGAUAUUCGGUCUCGUAUAUCGCAUCUCUGGAUUUGGAUUUCCUGUUUUGGAUUCGAUUGGGCAGCGUGAAGGGGGGGGGUUACGUAUUUGGCGGUGCGGGGGACGCGCGGGGGAUGUUGGGUAGGGGAUGGGUUUUCUCCGAUACGUUACAUAUAGACGGACAUACUGCAUUACAUUAUUACAUCGCAACCGCUUAACAAAACCCUCACCCUCCCUUCUUUACAAGCGCCGACUGGUCAGUUAUGCCUUCCUCUCACUUCUGGCGCAUCAGUCUUUCCUCGGCAUAUCACCUUCACUCGUUCACGUGGUUCAUCCCCUAACCCCUUCACCCCUCAUCAUCUCCCGUCCAGGGCUCGCGGUGAGGAGCUUAAGGCGGCGGUGGGCGAGUGGCAGAGCCGUCACCGUCUAGACAAGGUGCUGACCACGGGCUUCCUGGACGGCACACACCCCAUCGUGGAUAUGUACGAGCUGAAGGUGGGGGGGAUUUGCGGGGGAGAUAGGAGGGAAGGAGGGGGGGCGGGGUUUGGAGGGGAAGGGGGGGGAGGGAAGGCCGGGUUGGGAGGGAGGGGAAAAAGGGUUUUGCCUGCUUUGACUGCCGUACCAUGCCGUACCAUGCGGUACCAUGCCGUACCAUGCCCUGCAGGUUCGUUUGGAGCACAUGUUGCGGCGGCUGCAGGUGUUGCAGGAGGCGGCGGGGGCUGAGAAGCCCAGUGCAGUGCUGACGGGCCCCGGGGGGGCGCUGUUCCUGGGGGGCGCGGUGGCAGCGGACUCGCACCACAUCCUCCGACAUCUGGGCAUCUCUCACAUCGUGAACGCCACGGAGGUCGGUGGGGUGGCGCGUGUGUGUAUGUGUAUGUAUGUAUGUAGGUAGGUAGGUAGGUGGGUACGCGUAUGUAUGUAUGUAUGCAUAUACGCGUGUGUGUGGGGGGGGGAGGGGAAAUAGAGAAUAGGUUUGCGCUCCAUAACUGCAAACCAGCGAAAGCCCGUCUCCAGCCAGACCCCCCCCACCCCACCCACACACUUCGACUCCCUUUUUUAUACACAGCACACACACACAUACACACACACACGCACACACACAUACACACACUUUCCCCCUCCUGCACCCCACUCGCCUCAGGAGCUGCUGCUUCCCGACCCCUCCGCCGGUUUCCGGGUACUCCGCGCGGCAUUGCGCGACGUGGACGACGAGGACAUCUCCCGACACUUCGACGAUGUUUGCAAGUUCAUUCAGGCGAGCACGCGGUUUUUUUUUUUUUUUGUGUGUGUGUGUGUGUGUGUGAGAGAGUGUGUGUGUGUGUGUGAGAGAGUGUGUGUGAGAGAGUGUGUGUGUGUGUGAGAGAGUGUGUGUGGGUGUCUUGGGUUUUGCCUUAGGGUUACCUUUACCCCUAUCCCCGUGGAACCUUAACCCCCCAUCGGUGUGCUUCGGACGGCUUGCUGUCGACUGGGCGGUCGGGUGGCCGUCAGUGGUGUUCUUUGCACCGUCAUCAUCAUCGUACGAUUCCCCUCCACCCACCCAACCACCUCCGAAAACCCCACACAACACACCGCCCGGAUUUUCUUCACCUCCCUCCAACUCCCCCAACCCCACAUACAUACGUACAUACAACCAACCUCGCCUCGCAGUCCUGCCACGCCGCCGGCGGCAGUGUGUUGGUGCACUGCUCCGAGGGCAAGAGCCGCUCCGUAACCCUGGUGCUCGCCUACCUGAUGAAGGGACGGGGAUGGAGGCUCAAGGCCGCCUUCGACCACGUGAAGUGGGUGGUCUGGGUUGGGUGGUGGUGUGUGGGGUGUGAGGUGUGGGGAGGCCGGGAAGGGUGGGGGAAGCAGGGGGGGAUGGCGGGAUAUACCACCACGCGGAGGGUUAGGUGGGUUGCGAUGCGUGCGUAUUUCGUGCCUGUGUGUCUGUGUCUGUUUGUAUGUAUGUAUGUAUGUGUAUGUGUGUGUGUGUCAUUGAUCUGGGCGUGAUGCUGACCAGAGGCGCCUAACAGAAUCCCACACCAACCCCACCUACACGUGCCCCCGUCUUCGCCCCCUCGCUGUGUGCGUGUGUGUGUGUAUGUGUGUGUGUGUGUGUAUGUGUGUGUGUAUGUGUGUGUGUGUGUGUGUGUGUGCACACAGAUCUUGUCGACCUGUGGCUUGCCCCAACGCUGGAUUCAUGGCGAAGCUGCUGUCGUACGAACGGGACCUUUACGGCAACAACUCGUACAUCCCACAGCAACUCAAAAAGGCCAAGCCGGAUCCCGUCAUGUGCCCGGUGUGCGGCGCGGCGGUAGGCAUCAGUUCCGCCAGCCUUGCCGUACAUCUCAAGAGAGCGCAUCCGCUCCAACAAGAUGCCGCCAGCGGUGGCAGUUCCGCGGCGCCGCUAGGGGCCUUCGGUGCUGCCUCUGCCGCCGCCGGCGGCGAUGUACCGCAUUCGCAUGUACGACUGGGAACAGGCACGCGGCAGGCGGCGGCGUCUGGGUUGAGGCGCGUGGGCAGUGAUGAUACGACGGCGCCGCCGCCGUCAGUGCGAGAACAGGACGAGCAGCUGCUGCUGCGGCAGCGGUGUCGUGACGUUGGCGGCGGGGCGAGGGGCCCUGAUGAAUGGGACACGAUAGCACCUGAGGCCGAUGAGCAGGUUGCGGGUACGGUAAUUGUGGCGGCGGUGGCGGCGGCGGAGGGGGGGGCAAAGGGCGAUAAGAAGGACGGUCACCUUCAUCUGGUUCCGGAGCACCCCCCCUUGCCAGGGCACCAGGCGGGGGCCUCAGUGCAAAGGGGGGGGGUAAGGGGGGAGUAUGGGGGGAGAAUCUGAGUCGUUAGCGUGCGUGUGUUCACCCGCUAGCGGGGUGUGACGUGUGGGUUUGUAGUACACAAUGAGACGCACCACAGGUUGCCUGUUAUACCUUCGUCGUGCAUGUGCGCGUCUUGUCGCCGUGUGUGUGUAUGUAUGUAUGUAUGUAUGUAUGUAUGUAUGUAUGUAUGUAUGUAUGUAUGUAUGACUUAUGUAUGUAUGUAUGUAUGUAUGAGAGAGGGAGGGAAGGAGAGGGAGAGGUGGAGCAUGCAUAUAUAUGUGUGUGUGUGUGUGCAGCUUGGUGAGCUCUAAUGAUCUGGGCCGCGACGGGGGAACUGGCGAUGGUAGUACAGAUGUACGAGUGCACUCACUUACAAAUAGUUUAAAGCUAACCGGGUGUGUGUGUGUGUGUGUGUGUGUGUGUGUGUGUGUGUGUGUGUGUGUGUGUGUGAGAGAGGUGCGUGCGGGUGUUGCGGAUUGCGUCAUCCUGUAUGUUUGUACUUUGUGCGAAAAUAGUUAUAGGGAGAGGAAGUGAGAAGAGUGUCGACUUGUUGCGUGUUGCAAUUUUUUGUUCGUUGAUUCUCCCCUCGGAAGAACUUUGUGAAAGGCGCUUGUUGUUUCGGGGGCUGUUGUGUGCGUGGCGGCGCAUGUGUGCGCUCGGUGUAGGUCGGAGUCGGGCCCCCGCUCUGUUCUCUUUGAUACGUUUGAUACACUCUUGCCCUGGCAGCAGCUUCAAUCGUGUGUGGUUCGUCUUUCCCCCCUCUGUUCUCUUCUGCUGCCGCUGCCGUGUGUGCAGCAUCAGAGUACCCUUUUGCUUCGGCGGCUCUCAUCUUAUAGCCCGCGCUACAGCUUGGUUGGGGCGAGGCUUCCAAUCUUAGCUUGUUUGCUUGUAUGUAUGUGUGCACCCCUGAAAGUUUCAAGCUCCGGGACUCACGGACAGGGAUUCAGCUUCCAGUGUCCACUCCUUCGCCGAAGUGCAUGCGACAACAAUCUCAAAACUUUUACUAGAGAGAUACUUUAACAACAAGUUGUACAGCAGACUCAUUUUUGGGCGGGGCCCCAGCGCGAAGCGCCCAGGGGGGCCCCGACCUGUAGGAUUGCCUAUGUCCGUGUGUGUGUGUGUGUGUGUGUGUGUGUGUGUGUGUGUGUGUGUGUGUGUGUGUUCGUGUGUGUGUAACGGACCAAACAUAAUAUCUCGCCCGGCUGAAACGCGUUAUAGGUACUAUACAGCAUUCUCUAUUGCAAGGUAUCUCGCAUGUAGCCAACAAAAGUCGUAUGAGCACAAACAAGUUUGGCUGCCUCCAUUCACCGACCUCAAAAGUCACAUCAACGCCUCUCGGGCUACAUUUAAUCUCAAAAGGUACCGCGUAUCUCAUAAUUGAAUUCUGAGAUGACAGCGUAUGAUAAUUUGAACACCCAGCUUGUUGCCCGCACGGGCAUUCCGACUUGCCACCAGCAGGCCGACAAAUUUGCUUACAUUUCUCUAUGAAAUACGCAAGCUGCUCAUUUGUACAUUUCCUUAACCAAUGCUCGGGGCCUCCGGAGACUUGCGGUGUGCCCCGAUGAAGCUCUCGGCUGUGGGGCGGAUUGCUGAGGCCGCUGGCGCAUCGGGGAUAAACAUCACAGACAGCACCGAAAUACACCCAGCUUUCGUUACCAUUUGCCCGCAUGGGCAUUCCGACUUGCGGUCUGCCGCAGUGUCCAUGCGGCAUGCACCCGGGAUGGAUGCGAUUCGCGUGGAGCCCGCAGGCGUUGCUGACGAUUCCACCGAUGCAAGCUUAGCUCCCACACCAUCAGCACUGCUGCAACAAAGCACAUCUCCCACCGCGUUGACACUACCCAUCAAUUGUCACACGUGCCGCACUAGCUACCGGCCUGUACGGAUGCAGGGGGCCCCGCCCUUUUUCCGGCUUCGAGGAAGCCGACACCCGACUUGUCACAGCUGGCUCAGGGUACAGGGGGAUCUAACAGGGGGCUCUCGGCCGCGCGGCGGCAGGUCCUCUCUCUCCCACCAGGGCAGGGGCAUAGGCACCACACACGGCAAUUCGUAUCCGAGGGCUACUUCCCCGCUGACACAGCUUCUCUCGCGGAAUUUUCUCCCGCGGCGGUGUCAUAGGAUAUCUUUCUGGGGGCUGCAAAGGGAAAGGAAACUCAAUCUACAAGAAAUUUGCAAGACUUUGCCUAGGGUAGCGCUUUUGCUGUACUAAGACGACAUGAGUAAGAGGUCUAGCGGGUCUGGGCUCGCAUCCCCGAGAAGCGAGAAUAUCCCACGUACUGGGUUCUCAAACCUUACAAAGAGGGAGCGCUUCAUGUCGUCGCUGGGUGUUUCCAAGAACUUUCCCUAUUGUUUCAAUUGGAUGAGCGGCGCGGACUCCCCAAGAGUUCAAGGACUCGAUGCCGAUACACUGAAGUUCAUUUUGGAGUUCCUCAGCGCGCCCAUCACUCUAUUUCUGAAAAUUGUUCUACACCCAUCCAAUCGGGAGUUCCCCCGCUAUCUCCUGUUCUACUCGAUCCUGUCCCANNNNNNNNNNNNNNNNNNNNNNNNNNNNNNNNNNNNNNNNNNNNNNNNNNUUAUCUCCGCAUCCGGUGCGGAGCUGUUGAUUGCCGCGAUGCGGAGAUAACCAGUGAAGCUUGGUCGAAACCUAGCAGUGCCAGCUGGGACAGGAUCGAGUAGAACAGGAGAUAGCGGGGGAACUCCCGAUUGGAUGGGUGUAGAACAAUUUUCAGAAAUAGAGUGAUGGGCGCGCUGAGGAACUCCAAAAUGAACUUCAGUGUAUCGGCAUCGAGUCCUUGAACUCUUGGGGAGUCCGCGCCGCUCAUCCAAUUGAAACAAUAGGGAAAGUUCUUGGAAACACCCAGCGACGACAUGAAGCGCUCCCUCUUUGUAAGGUUUGAGAACCCGGACACUCAGGGAGCAGGAGUCAGGCCUUAACCUCUGCCAGCCGCCUGCCUUAAAAUAAACUGUAAACGUGCAAACUGUAACUGUAUGAACUGUAACUGUAUAAACUGCAACUUUAAACUGUAAUGGUGUAAAAUGCAACUGUAUAAAACUGUAAAUGCAUACAGUUUAAAUGUAUAAACUGAAAUGUAAACCCACUCCCCCUCCGCACAAUCUGCCCCCCCAUAUUCCUAGUUCACCUUUCCCCCCCCCCCCGAAACACAAACACACACACACGUUGCCUCAUCAGGCUAUGCUCCAAUCCGCCUUCCGAGUCACGCUUCCCACCACGGGUGCCCAUGUACGGCUGCGAGUUGGCCUUCACAGCGGCCCGGUCGUCAGCGGCCUUGUGGGCACCCGCAUGCCGCGGUUUUGUCUGUUUGGCGACACCAUCAACACCGCCAGUCGCAUGGAGAGCACCGGCGUGGCGGGCUGCAUACACGCCAGCGACAGCGCAUUUGAGCUGCUGCGCGGCCUCGUGGAGGCGGAGGGCGGGUGGGCGGCCACGGGCGGCAUCGAGGCGAGCUUUGGGCGGUGGAACUGGCGGAGGUUUUAAGGUUUUAGGGUUUUAGGUGAUUUGCGGGGUUGGGUUUUGGGGUUUUGUUAGACCGGUUUCAUUAGAUCGUGUUGGACCUUUUGGUGAUGUGUUUGUUGGCGGUGAGGAGCGCCUUCCCUUCUCCCGAUUGUGUACGAUUUUAUCGUCGUAAUAGGUGAAGGGGAAGGGACUGAUGCAGACACAUUUGUGGACGCCGCCGCCACAACCUCCGUUGCCGAUGACGACGACGGCGACGACAACACCUAUGAUUUGAAUUUCGAGAGAAUGAGGGAGCGAGGGAGGGAAGGAGGGUUAUAGAGGAGGUUGGUUGGUUAAAAACAAAUAUGGCAUGUCAUGCUUGGCUUUGCGUGUUUUUUGUGGGCUCGUACUUGACGUACGGGAGCGCCCCCAGAGUGCCGUACCCGUUGCUGCCAAAGAGCUGCGAUGGCCCCCAUGGUGUUUUCCCACCUGCCGCAACCCCGCGGUCCGUAACGCCGUACAUACGUCGUACUAGGUAAGCUUUUUGCUGUCGGUGACGCGGUGGUCCAUUCAUGGUUGGUGUUUCCUUUCUGUACUUCUUUUUCUUCAGCGCGAGGUCCAGGGGGGGGGUUCGAAGGCACAUGGUGAGGGCUGUACGACGACUCGUCAUCCACUGGUGGCUUGGAUUCGUUCAGGUACCUGUGCAUGGCCGGUUGGUCGGUUGGAUGGUCGGUUGGAUGGUUGGUUGUGGCAACAAUAAUAUUAUUAACGGCAACGGUACUGCAGCAGUAGCGUGUGGAACAUCGUUCUAGCGUUACACGCACGAACUCUGCAUCGAAGAUUUCAAGAAAAGUCAUAUGGCGAUAUGAUGUUUAGGACAGAUACAGAUACAGUGGACCAUGGCACAGCCACGCCAAGAUAUAGGGAGCUUAAGGCGAAAUCAUAAGGUAAUUUACGUAUGACAACAUCCCUUUCGUUUAGCCCAAGUCAGUAAGGAUUGUUUUUGGGUUUAUUUAGGUUCGUUCAACGAGAACUGCCUCGCAAACCGAAAUUAACCGCCACUGCUGCUAUUAUGGGGGUAGCUGCCGUUACCACUCCAGACGCCAACGAUGAUGAAGCUGACGAUGAAGUCGCUCAGACCCCCGCAAGUGGUCAGUGGCACAAACACAAGCAGUUCACGCUCCCGGCCAUACUCCAGCCACAUACCACACCACUACGAACCUGAGCACACCUCAUCACUCGUCACGCAUCUCACAAACAAAUGCAUCGCAGUCGCAACCCCAUGCCCCGACAGAAGAACCUCCACCGCUCGGCCCCACACUACAAGAUCUACAAACACUUCCUCACCCGCACAUUCAACCUGCCCAUCGCCAUUAAACCCCGUACCUGCCUCUGCCCUAAUCCCAUCACACCGCCGCCAGCAGCCAUGAAACACCCGAUUCAGAACCCUAUCCUCUUAAUAUCCAACAGCACCUCCUACUCCAUGGGAAGGUUCCUGCUGACAUCAUGCAGGAUACCCUACCAGAGCUGCUGUAUGAGUCGUACAUGACUAUUCGCUACAAUGCAGCUCAUGCACACCACAUCACCAUUGUAGACCUUCCUGCUCUUGUUGCUACUGCUGCCAUUUGAGGGCCUUCAUGGCUUCUUUCAUAUCCUUCAAUGCCCGCUUCGCAGCCUCGGCCCUUUGCUCCGCAGCCUCCCGCCUCUGCUUCUCAGCCUUCUUGCUUGCCUCGCUCCGCUGCCUCCCGCCUCUGCUUCUCAGCCUUCUUGCCUCGCUCCGCAGCCUCCGCCCUGGUGUCAGAGGUGUCGGCAACGGAUUCUUUGCGGCUACUGGCGACAGUGGGAGGGGAUUAGGGCAGGCAGGUACGGGAUUUAAGGUGAUGGGCAGGUUGAAUGUGCGGGUGAGGAAGCGUUUGUAGAUCUUUUGAGUGGUGGAGGUUCUGCUGCCGGACUUCAUAAGCUCCGGACUUUGCAGGGGUUGCAAUUGCGAUGCAUUUGUUUGUGAGAUGAGUGACGAGUGGUGAGGCGCGUGGUGUGGUAUGUGGCUGGAGUAUGGCCGCGAGGGUGAACUGCUUGUGUUUGUGCCACUGACCACUUGCGGGGGUCUGAGCGACUUCAUCGUCAGCUUCAUCAUCGUUGGCGUCUGGAGUGGUAACGGCAGCUACCCCCAUAAUAGCAGCAGUGGCGGUUAAUUUCGGUUUGCGAGGCAGUUCUCGUUGAACGAACCUAAAUAAACCCAAAAACAAACCUUAAUGACUUGGGUAUACGAAAGGGUUUUGUCAUUUUUAAAUUUCCUUAUGAUUUCGCCUUUAGCUGUGACGACGUUUGGCUUGAGAGGGGAGAGACGAUCCUUGGGUGACCAUAGUAAGUAUUGGCCUUGGCACCGUACGGAUCGGGAUGCACUCGUUAUCAGCUGAUCGGAGGAUAGCGGCGCAGCGGCAGGCUAGUCUUUAAACUUGCACUGUUGCUGCUUCCGACUGGAGUUGCACUAUGCUUAUCAGCAGCGCAGACACAAAGUUGAAAUCAUGAAUGAAUACGGUAGCGUGGAUGCUUACUUUCUUACCGCAUGCUGAUGAACCAUUAUAUAAUCUCUUCUGGUUUUACGUAUAAGGUCAUUAUUGUAUAAUUACGGUGUCGUUACUUUAAACCGAGAAACGCUGGUCUGCAAGUUUCGUUUCGCGAUGUCGUUCGAUUGUAACACCACUUGCCCUCGACCUAAUUGCGCCGGCGGGAAUGGAACAAAUGACAACAGUGCAACUGACCAACAGGUCGUUCUAUAGACCUGCACUCUGCCCAGAGAAAGGAAUGCCAGAUGCGCCACCGAUAUGUUGCUUCGCUUGGCGAUGAGAUUAUCCACAGGUACUUGAGUGUUUAUAAAUUCAUUAAAUACUAUGACCUCCUUUCAUAUGCAGGCGACCAUAUUUACCAGGGCUGCCAGCCUGGCCUCAGCAGCCCUGCGCCUCAGCCACACGUUGUCGGAGGGCGCUGCGGAGGGAAUGCUAAACAUGUGCCAGAAUAUAUACGAAUUAUUGCGACCCGCUGUACGACAGCGUACGGAGCCAUACCCCGAGGACCUUACUGGCAAGGUGCAGCUCGGUACUGAGUUCAAAGCCAUAGAAUGGCGUCACGACCUUACGAUCACUUGUCGCUUCCCACACAAUUCAUUCCCCUCAUGCGCUUCCCACACAAUUCAUUCCCCUCAUGCGCUUCCCACAAUUCAUUCCCCUCAUGCGCUCCCCACAAUUCAUUCCCCUCAUGCGCUCCCCACUGCAAUUAUUUUGGGCUACCAGCAGUGGACCUGGUGGCCCAUCUUUCGUAUCUCACCCUCCUCCCUCUUUCCUCUUUUCCACCUUCCUCUUUAAAAAAUAUGUCUAGGUGGCCAUCGUGACGGGCGGCAAUGCGGGCAUCGGCUUCGCGACCGCUCAACAACUGGCUCGGCGCGGGGCGCAUGUCGUACUGGCGUGCAGGGAUAAGGCCCGCGCGGAGGCGGCAGUCCAGGUAAGCUCCCACCGAAUGGGUAUCAACAUAACAUUACAUUACAUUACAGCGACCUACCAGGAGCAAUCAGGAGCAAUAGACAAUCGGUAUACGGCGGGAAAUGGCGAUAAUGCGGUAAAGAAAUGAAAACCCAAAAGCAUGUGUGUUGGUAAGCACGUUUAAGCUCUAUUUAUGUAGUCUUUUAAGCCAUCCCAGCCUUAGGCCUUAGGCCUUAGGAAAGGCGCUGCUGCUGUUUGCCCGUAUCACAUGUAUUUGCAGCAAUGACCCGUGGGUCAUUCUGGGUCGUUGCUGGCUGUUGUAGGAUAUCCAUAUCCGUGGGUAACAUGGCCUAUGCCCCGAUAUGCGCUUUUAACUAACUGCGCUCUACUCAAGUAACUGGUUUGGCUGUCCAGCGUGGCUUCAAUCCUUCCCGAACUGCCCUUCCGACAGCCGGCAAGUAAUCAUUUCCUUCUUGCAUAUAUAACCCCCCCACGCCCUUUUUCCCCUCCGUCAUCUCCGUCGUCAUCUCCGUCGUCAUCUCCGUCAUCUCCAUCUCCUGCUGCACGCGAAUUCACCCCCAGGCCAUUGCACAUUGGACACCAGCUCUCCCAGGAUGCGGCCCCAAGGCAACUGCCACCGCCUCAGCUUCCGCCGACCACAGCCCCACCGGCAUUCGGUCCUCCGCCGACCCCGACUGCUCUCCUCCUCUUCCUCUUCCUCCUCCUGCUGUUACCGCUGCUGCUGCUCCUCUUCUGAGUGUGGAAUCCAUGGAUCUGGAUUUGGGUCGGCUGUCAAGUGUACGGAGCUUUGCGGAGGAGUGGCGGCGCAGGGGCCUGCCCCUCCAUCUGCUGGUGUGCAACGCCGGGGUGAUGGCGCCGCUAGAAAAGACGUUGACAUCUGACGGGUUGGAGGUGCAGUUCCAGGUGUGUGAUAUUUCGUGUCACUGUUGCUGCUGCUGCUGCUGCUGCUGUUGCUGCUGUCCUUUUCGUCACCUGCUCCUCCUCCAGCCCCUCACCGGGUCAUGUGUCCUGUGAGGCUCGAAGCGGCCCUCGCGCCCCGUGUCAGACCCUGCAGCCCCAAACCCGAGCUUUUCCCGUUUGUAUCCUUUUAAUGUACCGGAGGAACAAUGUACGAACUUAACUAACUUAACUAAUCUUAGGAAUCUCCCCUCUCCCACGAUCCCACGCACCCACCAAAACCCCCCUGUGGUCCAAAUGUAGGUCAACUUCCUUUCCCACUGGCUGCUGACACACUUGCUGCUGGACCAUGAACGGGAGAGGCGCCGCGAACAGCAGCAUGCCACGACGUUGAUGGCCGCCGCCACGGCAGCAGCAGCAGCAGCAGCAGCAGCAGGAAAAACACCUAAAGCAGCAGCAGCAGCAGGAGAAGCAGGGAAGCCGUGUACAAGCAACUGUAGCGGGGGUGGGGCUUGUGGCGACGCUAUCCUGGAUAGGAAAGACGGGAGUUGCAAUCCAGCAGCGGGAGCUGUACGAACGCCACAGAGCGCCUCAUCCACCCGUGUGGUUAUUGUUAGCAGUGUCGUACACCGGGCGGGAGUACUGCAGUGGAGCGACUUGCUGAGUCAGCGGAGGUGCGUCACAACAACACGCAUUUGAGGGUUUUUUGGUGUGUGUGUGUGUGUGUGUGGAUGGGGGGAAUGUCUUAGGGUUUUGUGUUAGGGUUUGAAGGUUAGCUCGCAGGAGGGCCGAUCAUUGAAUGGAGAUUUGUUUGCCGUAGAGCUUGCUGUGUGUUCGUGUUUUUUUGUGAUGUAUGUAUGUGUGUCGUUAUGUCGCUUUCAUCUAGAAUUUUUACUUGAUGAUGUUUGCGGCUGUUCCGAUGAAUGCUGUGUAGUAAAUAAAGCAUUUUAAAUAUGAUACUAAGCAAUUUAUCAAGGUAUCAGCUGUUUGGUACCAAUUUGUUGCGCUUGCGCGAGAGACCUGGAUUAAACUAAUAAAUUCUUUAAUUUUUAAAUUACGGUGUGGGCCUGGGGGCCUGACGGGCCACCCAGGCCUCUGCCAGUGCAACACGGAGAGGAAGUUUUUUUACACAAAUUAAACUACUUGCUACCUCCGUCUCCCCUGACUCUCGGCAUCGUUCGUCGUACAGAGACCUUUUAAAUCUUAUCCCUCGGCCCCCUGCAUUGCAGCUAUGAGCCGUACAUCACGUACGGCCUAUCCAAACUUGCAACGGUCAUCUUCGCCAAGGAAUUGCAACGAAGACUCGACCGGUCUGUGGAAUUUCAAGAGUGUGUGUAUAUGUGUGUAUAUGUGUGUGUAUGUCUGUGUAUGUAUCGAUCCGGGCCUGACGCUGGCCAGGGGCACCUAACCGUACCCCAACGGGAACGACACCGCCGAAGCACUCCAUCAUUGGAGAGGCGUUACAUCGGUCAGAGUCCUAACCGUUCUCCCUCAUCAUCAACGCAAGGCGCCGUCACCUGUUCGAAUCCUCCAGCCAGCUACAUACACCAGAUCAGAUGCCAAGCAACCCCUCCGCUCCACCGAAAGCGCAUGCUCUACAGCUGCGCGAUGAUCUACCAAUAGCUGCACCCACACCGGUGCCGAUCACACCACACCUAUCCUUGCGAAUCCUGCCGCCGCGCGGUUUCGUUAUCCAACCACCAUCGGGUAUACAGCCCCUGGUCCAGGCCCUAUGUAUAUAAAUGUGCAUGUAUGUGUAUGUCUGUGCAUGUGCGUUUGUAUUAUUUGUAUCUUCGUGGUCGCUUCGCCCGCGUGUGCGUUUUAUCGCGUGCCUGUUAGUAGCCCCGGAGGAACCAGAUCCGGAGCCCUCCGUGUACGACACUGCCGUACUUCUCCCGCAUCACCCUCUUCCUUACUCUUCAACGUCUAAAGCCUUCGAACUUAUGCCUCUUCCCCCGUUUCCUUGUUUCCGUUUUCCUUUCCAAGUAAGUGGUUUAUUUGUUCAAAUCUCCACCAACACCGCAACAACCGAACGGGUUCUUUCCCCUGCACCUGGUGGUACCUGGUAGGUGACUGGGAGGACGUUCCCACUACACCCCACGCACGUCUCCACAGGCACCCCGAGUACGGCUUGUACGACACUGCCGUAGCGAUCCAUCCGGGCAUCGUCCGUACGAACCUGGCAAACGGCUUCUUCCGUACGUACACGUUGAGUUCGGUGGCGGGAACCCCCCUGGAGCCGCUUCGAGGACUGUGGCAACGUGCUUGGGACAAGGUGUGCGCCGGAAGCAAAAAAAACACACACCGCAUUCCAUCCGCUGCGUUACCCACAGAGCUGUGCGCAAAGCCCAGCAGAACACGGAACACGUAAUUGGGUUUCCUCCCCUAAAGGGGAACGAAGGGGGAUGCCGCCCAGAAUAAUUAACACGAAAAAAAGCAAUCUCACUUUCAAAAGAGUUUAUAUGCUGUCAAUUGCACAACCAGAAUUAGUGAUAAAAAAAACUUUCAAAUUUAAAUUAUUAUUAUUAUUAUUAUUAUUAGAACUAUAUAAUACUGCAUUAAUCUUCUCACAACCGUGAUGAUUUCCCCUUGCGUGCGUCUGCAAGUAUGUAUGUCAUUAGCUGUACGAGUCAAAUACUUACGACAGUAUGAGCGGACGAGGCGCUGCGUGUACGUGUACUUUCCUGUAAAUGUACGUACAUCCAUUUGAGGGAUUUUAAUCUUCCCGCUCUCCUGUUUGACCCUUGGCCCUUUCCCCCGCCCCCCUCCUCCUCCGGGUCUCUUCAAUUUGUGCCCUCGGGUCGGGUCGAGUCGGGUCGGGUCGCUCGUGUACCUCUCCUUUCCGGCCCCAACCGCGGUGUUCAACCCCAGGCCGGUCAGGUGCUUCUGACCUCUCCAGCCCAGGCCGCUGAGCGCAUGUUGGCGGCGUGUCUGGCCCCCCCCGACCAAGUGGCGGGGAAGUACCUGGCGCUGGGCCGGGUCUACUCGGCUGACGCGGUAUGUGGGGGCCAGCUGAGUUAGCGGGCCCCGGCAGGCCCCGAACUCGGUUGUAUGUGCGUAUGUAUGUAUGUAUGUAUGUAUGUAUGUAUGUAUGUAUGUAUGUAUGUAUGUAUGUAUGUAUGUAUGUAUGUAUGUAUGUAUGUAUGUAUGUAUGUAUGUAUGUAUGUAUGUAUGUAUGUAUGUAUGUAUGUAUGUAUGUAUGUAUGUAUGUAUGUAUGUAUGACUUAGAUUACACUGUGGGCCGCGAGAGCCGGGGGCCGAAGCCGAAACACAACGCAAGGGUCGGGAGCACACAGCACAAGUCGGUUAGUCUUGUGUGCUCCCGACCCCGACUCAGACUGCCAACACUCUAAGCAGCCACUCCGCAGCCCCUCCAUCCGGGGAUGGCGCUAUGUAUGUAUGUACGUGCGUAUGUAUGUAUGUACGUACUGACGAGGGCUUUGUUAUUAAGAGCUGUUUGUGUCUGCUUGUCUGUUUGCCUGUUUGUCUGUUCGUGUGACUGUGUCUGCUUGCUUGCAUGUUUGUGUCUGUAGUUGUUCUGAGUGCCUGCUGUUGGUUUGAUGUUUGGUGGUUAAUUGGUUGGUCGGUUAAUCGGCACGCAGGUGUCCAGAUUGGGGUCCGUUGCUGUCCCGGGCCAGGAGGCAGACGGGAAAAAAGAUUUAUAGUGUUAUUAUUAUAUAACAUAAAAAUAUACAUGAAUAUGUAUACAACAUAAUCAUGUAUUGAAUAUGUACAUAUAUACAUGCAUACAUGUUUGCGUGCACGCGGGCGGACAACCUACCUAAUAGAAGGAUCAACUACUAAUGCUGCUUAUGCUGCGCUCUCCGGCUGCUACUGCUACUGCUGCUACUGCUACUGCGGUUCCUGCGUCUGAUGAUUAGGCCUCUGAUGACCCUGCCCGGGCCUCGGAGCUGUGGGCCGUCGCCAGCCGGCUCACGGGCUGUACGCCACCGCCCUCCCUGGCGUGAUAUGAUGUGUCCUUCCUGGCGAGCAUGCUACUGCCAUGACCAUUUGAAUAGCGGCACGAGGGCUCCAAAGUGAUCCUGUACACGCACGUACACCAGCAGUGCUUAUUGUGCCCGCCGUACUGUACGGGCAGGUCUGGUUCGUACAUACGGAGGUAUGGUCGCGACAGCUGCUGCUUUAGUAUUUUAUGUUGGAGAGUGAUCAACACCACUUUCCGUAGGUAUACCUUUGAAAUGCGUGAAGAGUCAAUAAGGCCCUAGGGGCGCUUUUCUUCGACAUUUUAAUUUACCGACUCGCGCAUGUGUACGGCGACGCGGAGUGUCCUUGGCUGGCAUAGCCAAUGCAGCUAAUUACUAGUUGCAAGGUUUCGCAAUUUCCGCACAAGUGCGGGGAAGGGGGGAUAAGACGAACCACGUGAGCGAGUGAAGGUGAUGCCGAGGAAAGACUGAUGCGCCAGAAGUGAGGAAGGCAUCACUAACCAGUCGGCGCUUGUAUUGAAGAAGUUCUUGCGAUGAUGUAGUCAUGACGAUAAAACUACCUACCUAGCCGGCAAAAGAUUGAAUUCAAAAGCGGAAAGAGAGCAGGAAAACCACCCGUAGUAUUCUAUAGGUAAGGGGGUGGGCCGGGCCAUUCGUAAAACCCGAGGGGCUCAUAGACGGCUAAUUGGCAUUAUCAUUGUUAUACUUGCCUAAGAAAAAAAACCGGUCACGGUUUCUAUAUGGUGGUAUGGGUGUUGAUAGGGUGGUGGUCGGCUUAUUCGGGAUUACAAUGACAGAGUCCAGUAACAACUCGGAUCGUCAACAACUCGGCAUGUUGAGCUCGAUUAGCACCUACAUCUAUCAGCAGUUCUUUUCCUCGCAAUGGAUUGGGAUUGAAUUGGCAUCUCCAGCCACAUAGUCACACUCUCCGUGCCUAAAACUUCUUUUCCUCUUAUGUAUGACUGCUGACGUACAGACAGACGAACAGAACGCACAUUUAUGCAACACUACAUGCCGUACUCCGCCUCGGCUGCAUCACUGCAGGAAAGUUCAGCUCCAAGUUUGUAAAAAAUAGCCCACCGUCACGCAGCGUACGAGUGUAUGAAUAUACAGCAACUAUUGCAAAAGACUUCCCUCGCAGCUCUCUCUCGCACCGCCAUCCUGCAAACGUGCCUGUUUAGGCGAUAUAGCAGUCACGAAAAGACAUCAUUGGCCGAAUUGAUGAAGCUCUUGGAAACAGUAAUUUCGGGUACUUAAGGGUACUUGUUCCUGCCGUCGUCUUCUGCUCCAUUUAUAGCUCCUUCCUGCCGGACCCCUCGCUUCAGCCAGCUUUUAAUCAGUCGCCCUUAUGUGCCUGGGGUCUCCGCAUAAUAUCAAGCCCCACCUGACCGCCGCCGCAACAGAUGGCCAUCAUACACCGCACACAAGCAGACAAUCGAUAAUAUCGUGUGCCAUAACACCAAACUGUUGAUGAAGCCGUAGAGACAAGAGGUGCUAGAGCAGCCUCAUUUCUUUGGAGACAGACAAGAAGGCCGAAGGAGAUAGUUUGCGAAAUUUCCCCCAAUAAUAAGCCGCAAUCCAUCCAGCCUGGCUCUCCAUCUCCUGCGCCUCCACAUCCUCCCGCCGCAGUCGGGGACGACGGGGGGUUGUCCGCUCGCCAGGGAGACGACAUAACGACAUACACGCACAGCAACACACACACACACACACACCAGGUUUCACACCUGCACAAUCCAGGGGGGACACACUGAGACAAACACAGACUGGAUAUUUACACAAAGAUAAUAAACUAAACACGCGCAUACGCAGGCGGCGGCAUCAGCGCUGAUACCACUGCUGGUACCGGUGUCGAGUCCUCCCUCCAGCAUGCAUGUCCACGUCGUCUGGAUUAUGUCUGACUGCAACUGAGGCCCCCUCUCCGUCUUAGACGCGAUGGCGAUUUAGAUGGCUCCUUCUCGGCCGCGGCCGCCACCUUCUUUUUUUCCAGAACCGUCUCGCUUUUCAAAUCUUCUUUCUUUCUCUUCUCCUCGCCUUAGUUGAUGACGCGGCGCUCGCGGAGGAUCCGCUCAGAUUCCUCCCGGUUCGCCGGCGCGCCCCGGUCGCCAAAGUGCUGCAUGACAGUUGAUGAUGAGGAUGACAACGAGGAAUGUAUAUAUUUAAUAAUGUUGGUUAAUAUUGAUAAAGAAACUGAGUUAGGGCUGCGCGCCAUCCUAUCCUAUCCAUUGUGUGUCUGUCUUUAUGUGCCUCUGUGUAUUUAGACAUACAUACAGCACGGAAUCUUGGUAUCCAAAUCCGAUUCUGGAUCCGGAGCGCCAAUGGCAUCACUGACCACAUAGCACAUCGCCUAUCUAUCUAGGUACUCGCGAUGUAACGCAUGCACAAAUCUUCGCAUCCACGUGUGUUCAAAUUCGAAUCCUCACUCACCUUCACCCAGUGGCGACGCCGCUGGUUGUUGAACCUAAGGACGUGAUGAUGUAGGGGGGGAAAGCCGGGGGGAGCAGGGUGCAUGUGUAGCUUAGUAUGAUCUCUGGGGCUGCUUGCGUGUGUGUGCGUGUCCCUACCAUACCGUGCCGUACACGUAGUUGCCGUGCAGCUGUGUGUACAUCUACAGAGGCGCCUUCCCCUAAACAUACAUACAUACAUAUCCACUGUCCUAUUGCAGCUAGCUAGCAGUACAACCCAGCUGUAGAGUACGGAGUACAGGCAGGGUCGAUCAUGACACACUUGUACGGGGCACGCUGCUGAAUACGAGUAAUAUCGCAACACCUAAAUUUCAUUUGUGGUAACCAACAAGUACUGCAAUAUCGCAAAUGUACCGCAACCCACCAGUCGCUGAUUUGACGGAACGCGAGACCGGUCUGCCGGCCCAGCUCCUCCUUCUCCUCCUUCUGUGUGUGUAUCAGAACACGCAGGGUGUCAGCAAUAGCACUUACUUAAGACUACAUCGUAAGACUACAGCCCCAAGGCACACACAACAACACAGCUUAGCGGCAACAUGCAUGCACAUAUGUGUGUGUGGUUGUUACAGUGGGGCUACACAUGUGGUUGCAUAUCAGUCGAUGGCAAGGCCGAACGAACCCAGGUUGCGAAUGAAUCGUGGCCCGGGAUUUUGGAAUAGCAAUCGAGUGGCCAUUAGUCAUUAGUAACCUUCUAGGCUCUCCAGGAUCUUCUAAGCUCCAGAACAAGGGUAGGGACAUGUGGACUAGGGACGUACAUACAUACAUACAUACAUACAUACAUACAUACAUACAUACAUACAUACAUACAUACAUACAUAUAUACAUACAUACAUAUACGUUAGUAGUGGCGGGCGGGCGGGGUAUCACUCACCGUGGGGUAUGGCCAGACCAGAUGUGCUGUAUACCAGCUCGUCAAGACGGCGAGAUUGUCCACCGAGUGCUUCUCAGACUUCUUGCGGUUGGCAAUUUCAUGUCUCCAGAACUCUACCGCGUCCUUGUGGCUGUGUGUGAAAUAUAGACAGCAGAAUUGGAUGGGUGAAAUACGAGAGAGUGUGAUGCCCCAUCUAUGGACAAGAACUCGCUACGUGUACGCUAGCUGCUGGUGUCUGAGUAACAUGCUUGCUUCUGCUCACUUCUGCUUCAUUUGUCAGGUUGCCUGGGUGACCUAUCUGAUGGGAUGAAACACCGAAAUGAAAACCUCACUCACACUCACACUCGCACUCACACUCACACUCACACAUUCCCGACUUAGGGUUUGAUCCAUCCAUCGACUUAGGGUUUGAUCCAUCCAUCGACUUAGGGUUUGAACCAUCCAUCGACUUAGGGUUUGAACCAUCCAUCGACUUAGGGUUUGAUCCAUCCAUCGACUUAGGGUUUGAUCCAUCCAUCGACUUAGGGUUUGAUCCAUCCAUCGACUUAGGGUUUGAUCCAUCCAUCCGCACUAUCGUGCUAUGAAGUUUAUUGAUUGGCUAAGCUGAGUUGAUCUUCUAAGGGGCUAAAAGGGGCCAUCCAAAACUCACUGAGCAUGGAGGUUGUGGGCCAUGUUGAGCCGGCCGACCGCUCGCUCCAUGAAAGACAUCGGGUCAAUUUUCACGCCGACAGCAGCGGCGUCGGUGGUGCACUUCCACACGUCCCUUAGGCAGCCCUUCUUCUGGCCGCGCGUGAAGUUGGUUGCGGCAUUCACUGGGUCGGUGACCGCCAUCUUGAGCUGCAUGUCCAGUAUUGGUUGGUUGGGGGAGGGAGGGAGAGGGGAAUGCGUGUGGGACUGGUGAAUGGCAGGUAAAAGAAGGCGGAUAUGGAGGGACAGACAGAUAGACAGAUGCGGCUGCGGGUAAAGGGGGCUGCGUGAUGUUGGCUACAUGAGACAAACUACCUUCAUUAUAAUUAUAUUCCCAAAUUUAUUUGAGUUACAAAGCGUAUGUGCCUAAACUUUAACAAGACGGAUAAACAAUAUCAAAGUGUCAUUUUCAUAUUCGGAAAACAAGCAGUAAUAUUGAUAGCCAGCUGGGCUUACUGAAGAACAUGAACGACGAAUACAAACGCCGAAUACGAAAGACGACGAAUACGAACGACGAAUACGAACGACGAAUACGAACGACGAAUACGAACUACGACGACGUCAAGGGCGUUGUAAUAAUAGAAAAAAGGUUGUCGUUACGGGCGCCUCGUUUCCCUUAGGAGAAGAGACAGGCACCCAUACACCAUGCUCCCCCCCUCCUCACCUUGGCCUCGAAGACCGCCAAAAGGGCAUCUGCCUUCUGCGGGUGCCAAAGAAAUGAGCGAGCGAGCGAAGUAGAGGGGCCCGAGCGAAAAGGGGUUGUGAGGGGAGCGAGCGAUGGGUGUGGCGUGUGGGGUGUGUGUGGAGGUUGUGAGGGGAGCGAGGAGGGAAAACCGGGGGCAAGGAGGGAUGCAAGCAACCAGGAAACAUGAGAACCAAAAGGAAACACGAGAUUGUGGUGGUGCCGUACAAGGCCAGAGUGACUUGCUAAAAAAUUACGCGGGCACUGUGUUCAGGUGUACGGCAAGGCACACGCUUUUCGCACACAGGAUACACUCUGUCUGGGUGACCUGUGGGUGUGGUCCUCAAGCAUGGGGUUGUCGAUCGUACGUACGGAACGGAUGUACGGCACACCUACCUCCAUGAUGUUGGCCUCAGUCACGCGGUCGAAGCCCGCCGAGCCCUUGUUGUUGCUGUUGAUUUUGUUCUUCUUGCAGUUGCUGUUGUUGCUGUUGUUGUUGUUGUUGUCCUGGAAGUCAAGCGAGGUAGGAAGGAAGGAGGGAUGGAGGGAUGGAGGGUUGGAAACGCCGUUGCCUUGUGCACGAGGGGCCACCAACUGACUUGGCAACUGGACGAGUUAGAUCCCUAGUUAGACUAGGGAGGGAAGGAACCUGGGUGACAUAGCCUUGAGCUUGGAGACUCGGAGCAACGACGUCGAUUCCAACGCCAAGAUGUCAACGACACUCCGACGUCGAUCCGCAACCUCGACCCCGACCCCGGCGCAGCAGCCGGCCCUGUACUUACCCACGCAACAUUGAUGGCCUCAGCCUUGCUGUCGUGAAUACCGACCGCCUGCAGGCAGUGAUUUUAAUGGUUGGGUGCCGCGGCGGCGGUCGGGUAGUGAUGAUAUGAGGAGGAGUGCAGAUGAUAUACUAGGAGUUUUGGAAAGGGUACGACAGGUACGGGAAAGGUACGACAGAGGAAAAGUGCGACUAACGAGGCAUGGCAUGAGUUGGGUGGACACCGAUGAUAUAUAAAAUGCGCGGCGUGCAUCUAUUUAAAGUAAAGUAUUGUUGAUCGAUCGGGGGUAGGGGGGGAGAAAAGGGGAGAGAUGGCAGGAUCGCUAACCGACAUUGCGUGGAAACGCUUUCGUUCCUUCCACCAACCCAAACCAGCCCAACGCCCCUAUGAUACAGCCCCCGCACAACAUAAGCUGCUUCGCUUCGCGAAUUAUGGGAACGUUAAUAAGUUCGCCUUGCCCUGCCGUACAAGUAAGGAAAGCAAGCUCACCUUGCGAAGACGCGCCAUGUUGCGGAGGACCUCCUGGACGCGCGGAUGGUCCAUUAGGGAAACCUUCUUGUCAGGCUUCUGGCUGGGGUUCGGAAGCACUGACGGAGGUGGCGCCUUUGGCGGCGGCGGCGGCGGCGGCGGCGGCGUCCCCGUCACCUUCAGCACGGUCUUCACCAUCGAGGCGAAAGGUACUUGGACAGUCUCACGUUCUCGAGACGGCGUCUUCGCACUCGCCGUCGUCGUCGGCUGUUUCUGCUGCUGCCCCUUCCGCCGCUGCGGCGGCUGCGACUUCAAUAUUGUCACCAUCCGCUGCCGCGCCGGCGCCGCCAUCGGCUGUGGCGCCGCCAUCGGCUGUGGCGCCGCCAUCGGCUGUGGCGCCGCCAUCGGCUGUGGCGCCGCCAUCGGCUGUGGCGCCGCCGUCAGCUGUGGCGCCGCCAUCGGUACAAACACGGGCGCAGCUGCGUUCACCGUCGUCCGUUUCCGCCGUUGCACCUUCCGACCCUGCAGCGGCAUGCUCGCCGCCGCCGCCGUCGGCUGUGGCGCCGGAGGGACUAUCAUCUGCGGCGCCGCCAUCGCCGUCAGCUGUGGUAUCGGAGCCCCCAUCGGCUGAGGCGCCGCCAUCGGCUGAGGCGCCGCCAUCGGCUGAGGCGCCGCCAUCGCCAUCAGCUGUGGCGCCGGCGCCGCCAUCGGCUGAGGCGCCGCCAUCGCCAUCAGCUGUGACGCCGGCGCCGCCAUCGGCUGAGGCGCCGCCAUCGCCAUCAGCUGUGGCGCCGGCGCCGCCAUCGGCUGAGGCGCCGCCAUCGCCAUCAGCUGUGGCGCCGGCGCCGCCAUCGGCUGAGGCGCCGCCAUCGCCAUCAGCUGUGGCGCCGGCGCCGCCAAAGGCUGAGGCGCCGCCAUCGCCAUCAGCUGAGGCGCCGGCGCCGCCAAAGGCUGAGGCGCCGCCAUCGCCAUCAGCUGAGGCGCCGGCGCCGCCAAAGGCUGAGGCGCCGCCAUCGGUACAAACACGGGCGCAGCUGCGUUCACCGUAGUCCGUUUCCGCCGUUGCACCUUCCGCCGCUGCAGCGGCAGCUCUCGCUGGUGCAGCGGCAUGCCCGACGCCAUCGUUGGCACGCCCGCCGCCGCCAUCGUCAUGCCCGCCGCCGCCAUUGGCACUCCCUUCGUACUCGACAGAGGCAGCGGCAGCACACCCAUCGCCAUUAGCUGUAGCUGCAGCUGCAGCUGUUGCAGCUGUUGCUGCUGAAGUUGUAGCGGCAGGGGUAGUGCCGGCGCUUGUGGUGGUGGCGCUACCAUCAUCGCCGCCGCUGGCAGCGGUAGCGGCGUGACCCCAUUUAUUGGCUUGUCCGCCACCAUCUGCAAGCCAGCCGCAGUAAAGGGCAUCAUCGUAAAUGGAGGCAGUGGCUGCUGCUGCUGCUGCUGCUGCGCUCGUGGCGGUUGCAGUGGCUGCAGUAGCUGCUGCUGCUGCUGCUGCUGCUGCUGUUGCGGCAGCGGCGGUGGCGGCGGUGGCGGCAUCUGCUGCCGUGACUGCUGCUCCCGUUCCUGAGGCUCCUGGUCAGUCAGUGUCAUUGCGCUCAUCUUUUUCAGCAACGUGUCCUUCUGCUGCUCGCACAUCGGAGGUGCCUCGACGUCCUGCAGCAGAGCUUUCAGCAAUGGGCAAUUAUUGUCCCGAAUCGGCGCCAUCAUCUCCUCCUGCGAAUUCAUCAGCGGCUGCACCUCGUGCUGCACGGGUGUCAUUUCAACGUCCUCCGGCGUGAUCAGUGGCUUGAGAUCCUCCUGGUCGCGCAGCAGUGGUAGCACGCCUUCACUAAACGACGGCGAUGAGGGCAGCAAGACUGUUUCCGAAGCUGCCUGCUGCUGAUCGGCGCCCUGUGGUAACAAAAAAUAAUGUAAAAACGUGGUGUAUAAAUAGCAAAUGGAUACCUGCGUCACGUCAUGUCAAGUCAUGUUAAAGUCAGGUCAGAACCUGCCGAGACAAGCUAGUCAAGUCACCAGCAGGCAGGGCAGCACGUCGAGUCAAGACCAGUUAAGCAAGGCGGACGUCAAAAUAUCAACACAUAAGAUAAAAUAUAAUUAUCAUUAUAUUGUCAUUAGCGGCUCAACCUUGAAAGAAUUUUGUUAAGCCAAAGGUGCGCUAUCUUAGUCAUACCAAAUAAUUUUAAAGUUAUCCCGCGAGGUCCCCAAUAAGCAAAACAGGUGACCGUUUUAAUAUGCACAAAGGAUGGUCGCCGGUUCGCCGUUACUUGCAUACGCACCUUCCCAUCCUCCUCGCCCUCUGUAGCCGUGAAAUUCUGCUCAUGCUGUUCCGGCUGCUCUUUCGCAAACUCUUCGAACAUGUCAAGCAGCUCAGAACGGCGGCCCUCUGGGUCCAAAGGCUUUGCUGCCGCCACUGGCGGGCAAUUCGAGUCGCCAGCAAUAAUUGAAGCCUCCUUGGCAACGGCAGGCUCCGCGGCAGCAGCUGCGAACAACUCCAUCGUCGGAGCAGUCACCGUCGUCGCAGAAGGCGCCGUCGCCGUGCCCGCCGCGUCCACCGCGGCCGCCGCGGGGGCCAUCGUGCCCGCCGCGUCGCGGCCUGCCAAAGCCGUCGCGGCCACGUGUACAUCCACAUCCACGUCAACAUUCGCCGUGUCAGUCGCGACAGUCGCUGCAGGCGCCGCCAUUGCGGCCGUCUCGGUGUCCAUCAACAGGUCAAUCUCGUCCAGAUUCAAAAGCUGAUCAAGCUCCAGCGCCAAGUCAGCGUGGGCGCCAAGGGCAUCCAUGGCGAGAGCAUGGGCGGCUGAAGCCGCCAUCGCCGAUGCAACAGCUUCCGUGGCUACCUUGGCCGUCGCGCCAUAGGCAUUCAUGUUCAACACGACGCCAUCACGGGCGGCGAUGACCUUCACCUCAUCGGGGUCAAAAAAGACCUCUGUGGAGGAAAUCGCCUUCAAGAGGGGGUCCAUUCCGGAACCGAUGCUGGGCGAUGGCGCCAAGUCUCCCUCGCCAAAGUACUCGAGAGCGGCUCUCUUCAUCUGAAGCAGAAGCAGGAAGAUUGGAAUUGCGGCCAUUACACUGUUUGUGUUGUUAUACUUAGGGCAAAUGAAGGGAAACGAACAGCGAAAGCAACAGGGAUCUGGAUUUGGAUCCAGCCAGCCAGCAGUAGUAUUGACAUCAGCCUCAGUCUCAGCCGCGCCCACCCACCCAGCAACCACACUAUAUGCAUAUAGAUAGACACAUGUCUGUCUGUAUGCAUGCAUGUGCGCAUGUGUUAUGUAUGUAUGUGCGCUUCGUGCCGUCAAGAGGUAAGUGAAUGUAUAUGCGGGUACGUGGCCAUUAUGUUCCCCCGCUGACGGGUAAGUGUACCGCUAGUGUGUAGAGGACUACAAAAUAUUUUCAGCUUCGCUGUGUUAAGCUGCUCUGCUCCACCGAGUGGGGUAAACCGGUGCAACAACAGAAUGAAAAAAACAAUUGCACGGCAGGAUUAAAGCUAAGUAGAGCACAUACAUACAGGCAGCAUGCACGCAAAAAAAAACGUUGCGCAGCAGUGCAAGGAACGGGUAUUGCAGACCAACCAUGCAACAUAUAUAUACGGUGUGCAGCCAAUAUCAGAGCGGCAAACAAAUAAGUCCAACACAAUGCAAAAGUAUGUAUGCAUCAUAUAUUAACAUCGACACCGCAGCACCUAAAAGCUGCGCGCGGUGCUCUCUAUUGAUUGAUCGCACAAUGCUGAACAAGAAUGUUUCCAGCAGAAGAGUUUUCAGUAGAGCAGCAGCUCAUAACGAAUGACUGAAGGUUAUUGGCAAAAGCAAGAGUACAUAUGCCUAAAUCUUGCACAAACACCUCGCAGAGGGUGGAUACCAGCAUGCUCAUGGCGCCCGGGUGCGCAUGUGCAAUAAGCGAAUUCCACAGAAUGGCUUGCAGGGGAAGUCAUGAAAAAUGGCAACGCCCUGCUAUGGCAAUGACGCGUCAGCAGGAUGAUGAGCGUGUUGGGUCCAGCAGAUAAUUAUUGUUUGUGGCGUAAAAGCCAAAAGGACGCAGCUAAGUGAAGCUACCAUACUCUGCUUGCGGGGCCGGGGCAUCUGUACAUCUCUUACCUGGGCGUCCAUGCUGCCAAGUGUAGCUUAAAAAAGGUAGUUUGGCGGGACUCCUGCAGACUUGUCGAAUCGCUGGCCAAGUCCUGACUAAUGCGCUUAUAAAGCGGAGGGACUACUGCUAAGAUAACUACGCUAAACCUAGCCUACUGGCGCUACUGGUGCCUACAGUGGGAGUAUCCUAAGACCCUAAGCCUAGGAAAACCUAAAGCUGCCAUAACCAGUUGAAUUGUUUUUAUAAUGGUUGGGCCGAUCGAGUCGGUUCUGCAUGUCGUACGGAAGCCACGCAGCCAGCACCCCCGAAGAGCAAUUGCUUGGGCAGGUGAAUCGGCACGGGUCGCCCGCUCUUAGUUCAAAUUGGCGAAAAAAACUUGAUAAUAAUGAUAGCCAGUAUGAAGUUGUGGAGAAAGGGUGAAUUGAAAACAUGGGAUGCCCGAAGCCUGUCAUGUCACGACUUGCUACCUGUGGUGGCGAUUGUCGUCGCGUCCGUUAGGGAUUUGUCAUCCAGAAGCCGCUGAGAAACAGGGAAGCUGGUACCAGUUCAGCAAAAACAUAGAGAAUCACAUAAUUAAAAAAAUAACUACGAAUAAUGAAGCGUAAUGCCUAUCCUGUAAGUCUGACGAUUCGACGCUUCGCUGCUUUUUGUCUGUCGAAUGUUUUCACAGCGUCACCUCACGUCAAUCCACUGGCAAGCGGAAUAAAUAUAUUUGUAGAAUGCAUUCAAAUUUAUCGUUGCGGAGGAGCUAAUUGUCGCUGUGCAAGGAGGGUAGGAUCCGGGCUGGAAUUAGGGAGGAGCUCUGUCGCAGAAUUAGCCUGGAUUUUAUUCCUGACAAAAGAAUUGGUCUGCCGAGGUCUGGAAUUGUUCUGGCGGACUCGCCGGAGGUAUUCGAAUUGCGCUGUGGAGCCUCGGAAUUGGGCUGUGCUGGGCCUGAAUUGGCCUGUCCGGGUGUCGAAUUGGCCUGUCUGGGUGCCGAAAUUGGCCUAACAGGGUAUUGAAUUAGCCUGACAGGGUAUCGAAUUGACCUGUUCGGGGUGUCAAAUUGGCCUGACAGGGUAUCGAAUUAGCGUGUUCAGGGUGUCGAAUUGGCUGUCAAGUUGGCAGGAUUAGCUCGGGCUGGCAUCCAAAAGCACAUGACUUUUAAGGAAUUUACAGAAAACUUUGCAAGAGGACCGCUUACAAGUGCCUCAUGUGCGUAUUAGUUUCGAUCCCACGACAUGGAGUGGGAAAACUUGCACACCUGGUUACCGUACUCUGGCACUACUACUACUACUACGGGAGACAAGCACUCAGGGCCACGACUGCAUUACCCAGUCAAGUCAGCCGCCGAGGUCCCACUGUUUUCCCACCACACUUCAUCGGCAGUUCGUCCAGUUUAUCCCACAACACUCGUAUGCAUGAACAGGUUCGGGUGGAAACAAUGACAAAUCUCUGAUACACCGCUAAACUCAGUACCACGAGCUACAUUGGAAACAAAUGAAAAUGCAGAUGUCUGCCGAGAAGAAUAUGUUCACCAUAUGCAAUCUAUGCCUUAAUCCAUCGAGCUCUCCGUUGGGCGGGGCAUGGCCCAUGAAAUCGCCCCCGGUAUUCCGCCCAUGCAACCAAACACUGACACAAAACGUUGCACGCCUGGGCCCAUGUAAACCACGACACUUCCGUGUGGAUUGGCUACCCGCGCUCCCCAUGUCAGGGGUCCUCCCUCCUGCUGUUGACUCCCGGAUUGCCCACGCACAAACGCCAAACGUUGGCGCAGAAAACAGACAGGCCAUUGUAGUAUGGCAUCAAACCACGCAUAACCCACAGCGGCUUUCAGCAGCAGUAUUGCUUGGUGAAUGCGACCGGCCGCGUACUGCCAGUCUUAGCACCGAUGAACCACCCCCUGAUGCCGCCGCUGAUGCAGCAGGCAUAUGGGUCUACACCGCCGAGCUCUGACCAGUUUGUUUUGAACUCGCCUACACAGGGUUGUAAAACAAGGGGGGCAUUUCUGUUGUCAUAUGGUAUGAUGUUUCAUAGACGUCGGUAUGUAUAACAUUAUACAAUUGGGUGGGUGGGGUGAGGUAGGUUCCUCCUUUCUAGGUUGCCCACUCUUCCCUGCCACACAUCUCACGUCGCCACUUACCAGUAGCACCACGCGACUUGACGCGGGGUGGCACAUCCUCUGCUUCGGUGAUGGCGGCUGGUGCACUCAUCGGGACCACAGUUCCGCCGCGUCCUCGACGGUGCCAGUCUCCGCGUCCCUGUGUCCCUGAUCCUCCACGGCCCCCUCCGAUGCCGUUUUGAUCUUGAACAAGAGGGAUUUCGCGUCCGAGACGGUAAGGCCCGGUACAUUCCCUCUCAGUGCCAUGGCGGUGCGAAGCGGGGAGAGCUGGAAAUCCUCUGCAAUGAAGGACACACUGUCUUUCAAAACACCGUUCGCAAAGUUUCCGGUUGUUCUCGGCACGGGGACAUCGCCGCCCCACGUCUCUGGCACGGACUCGCGCUUUUCUCUCUGUGAUCAAUCUCUCACCUUGGAACAGUUCCCAUGCUUCACCAACGGAGUAGACGCCGAGAUCUUCUUCGAAUUGACGACGCACAGCAUCCACCCGUUCAUCGUCCACGUCCAGCACAUCGUGGAGACACGUCGCGACAGCCGCGACAUCAGACUAUAGACGCAGCAGAGAAUUAAAUAAACCCCGAGUGAAGGCGAAUGGCUGCAAGUGCACCAUGGCGCAUUUGCAUGGUUGGAAGCCACAAAGCAUGAAAAGACAUACCGCGUCAUUUGGACUUCGUGUCAGCUGGUCUCGAGGGUCUCCAUCUUCCGCAGUGUCCUCCAGGGCGACAUCUAUAGCGGCCAUUUACUCGCCACUCCUACCCGAAAGUAACCUAUCUUCUAUGUAUCAACGCUANNNNNNNNNNNNNNNNNNNNNNNNNNNNNNNNNNNNNNNNNNNNNNNNNNCCCCAGCGGCUUUCAGCAGCAGUAUUGCUUGGUGAAUGCGACCGGCCGCGUACUGCCAGUCUUAGCACCGAUGAACCACCCCCUGAUGCCGCCGCUGAUGCAGCAGGCAUAUGGGUCUACACCGCCGAGCUCUGACCAGUUUGUUUUGAACUCGCCUACACAGGGUUGUAAAACAAGGGGGGCAUUUCUGUUGUCAUAUGGUAUGAUGUUUCAUAGACGUCGGUAUGUAUAACAUUAUACAAUUGGGUGGGUGGGGUGAGGUAGGUUCCUCCUUUCUAGGUUGCCCACUCUUCCCUGCCACACAUCUCACGUCGCCACUUACCAGUAGCACCACGCGACUUGACGCGGGGUGGCACAUCCUCUGCUUCGGUGAUGGCGGCUGGUGCACUCAUCGGGACCACAGUUCCGCCGCGUCCUCGACGGUGCCAGUCUCCGCGUCCCUGUGUCCCUGAUCCUCCACGGCCCCCUCCGAUGCCGUUUUGAUCUUGAACAAGAGGGAUUUCGCGUCCGAGACGGUAAGGCCCGGUACAUUCCCUCUCAGUGCCAUGGCGGUGCGAAGCGGGGAGAGCUGGAAAUCCUCUGCAAUGAAGGACACACUGUCUUUCAAAACACCGUUCGCAAAGUUUCCGGUUGUUCUCGGCACGGGGACAUCGCCGCCCCACGUCUCUGGCACGGACUCGCGCUUUUCUCUCUGUGAUCAAUCUCUCACCUUGGAACAGUUCCCAUGCUUCACCAACGGAGUAGACGCCGAGAUCUUCUUCGAAUUGACGACGCACAGCAUCCACCCGUUCAUCGUCCACGUCCAGCACAUCGUGGAGACACGUCGCGACAGCCGCGACAUCAGACUAUAGACGCAGCAGAGAAUUAAAUAAACCCCGAGUGAAGGCGAAUGGCUGCAAGUGCACCAUGGCGCAUUUGCAUGGUUGGAAGCCACAAAGCAUGAAAAGACAUACCGCGUCAUUUGGACUUCGUGUCAGCUGGUCUCGAGGGUCUCCAUCUUCCGCAGUGUCCUCCAGGGCGACAUCUAUAGCGGCCAUUUACUCGCCACUCCUACCCGAAAGUAACCUAUCUUCUAUGUAAUCAACGCUAAACGCNNNNNNNNNNNNNNNNNNNNNNNNNNNNNNNNNNNNNNNNNNNNNNNNNNUUUAAAAAGCUGAAGGUAUUUAGACAGUAAGGAAGCAUUUCUAAAAAUCUCGGUAAACCAUUGCAAUAAGUAUGCCAGUUUAUAUUAUCACCAUAGGUUCUUGUGUCGAACGGUGCUAAAUGAACCAUGGUGCAUGCAUGGAAGUAUUCGGGGCGGAGAAGUCUCAGGCCUCUGCUAUGGAAGUCCUGGAGAAACGUCAGCUUGAUUGCAGAGUCUGUGGACGCCAGCACACGAUUAACUUGUGUUGCUGUGGCCACCCAGCGCCAUGCACGGUCCUGUACCCACAAUUUUGUGUUCAGGCGCUUUGUGGCUUCGAUGGAUCUAGCUGUGGAGUUAAGUAUGCGUCCUUCGCAGCCUUCGCACCGGCAGUGUUGGAUACGGAUGCCGGUAUGCCAUGUUUUCAGACCUGUUGUCGCAGCGCGGGCUUCGAAGCACGGCGCCGUUGCCCGGUCCGUUACCCAUGCCGGGCGCCCGUCCAGCGCGCCCCGCCUUCCUGCAACAACUAGCCGAGCGUCGGCGCCGUGUUAUCGGUGGGAUGUCGUGCCCUGGACUGCGCGACGAAUGUUACGCCUGCCUAUACGGCUGUUCCCAGGCGGGUGUGUUGGGGCCGCGGGACAUUGAGGCCGCCAUCAUGGACACGGGCGGCGAUGCAGGGCGCGCGCUAGCCUGGUACCCCGGGUUGUUGAUGGCAUGGUGGUUUGCUAAGGUCAGUGCAUGUGGGUCGGGCAAAGGCAAGGCUAGCGUGUUGGUCUGCCUGACAAAUGUUAACCCACAUGGGAAUCCUGACAUGGCACCACAGGCGGAUACAUUCUUCCGGGAGAAUCAGCUUCCAGCAUACUACGGCGAAAUCGACUCCAUCCGGUCCGUUGUCUGCAGUUUCUCCUCCGCAGCUGUAUGGCCGUGUGCCGCGUGUCUGGCCCUCAACAGAAAUCACCAAUUGAAGCGUUCAGCCGACGCUGCUUCACUGCGAGUCGCUGCGACACAGCGAGUCGCGACAGACCCAAGUGUCAUUGUCCCCUUCCGUUCUGCCGAGGGACUUGAGCGUGCGGGACACGUUGAGCUCUUUGAGCGGCUCAAGGUGGUCACAUCCGCAUUGAUCGCCGAGCGGGCAGAUCGAAUAGUGCUGGACAGGGAGAUUAAGCGGCGGACAUCCCUUUUCCAGGCUGAUAGAGUGAGGCUACAGGCAUACGCUCGGGCAGAUGCAUCACGCAGUGAACCCGUCCGACUGCUCGAAACAUCACAACAACGAGGUAUGAUGCAGUAUCGGCAUGCGUGAGUAGUGUAGGCUGGCGUGCGUGUACACAUGCCUUGACUUGUUAACCAUCGGACAUCGAUUGACAUUCAGGACUCGUUGACGGCACAAUUCAACAGUUGCUGCGGGGUAUCAUCCGGGGUCUCAGCAUCAAAGGACAACAACGCCAGCCGGAGGAGGUAGCUUUUUACAUUGCCCCUUGCAGUGACGUGGGUGUCCGUGCUCCAACCCGUCGUGCUGACUAUUGACCAAAUGCACAUUGGCUGGCGCCUAAGGUACGCGGGCCUGCAGUAGGGUACAUUAAAAGCCAGGAGCAUGGCCAUGCGUUCACGGGCGAAUGACUGGUACCAAAUAGGAUCAGCAAUGUCGACACUGUAACACGUGCUGCAGGCGCCAGCUCAUCAACCCCCGGAAGAUGAUGAUGAUCGGGCCAUACCUCAUCAGCUUCCCUGCACUGCGCGCGCUGAGCAAGCGCAUGCCCCAUGUCAACAUCUCGUCCCAGGAUCUCAACUACAAGGACAAACAGAACCAGCGCGCCACUCUCAAGUAGGCUCUAUCCAACCUGGAAUUAGGUACAGACUGGUUUGUGGCUGACUUACCGCCAUUCACUGACAGAAAGGUUGGCCGACCUCGACAUGGAUCCCUCAACUGGAAGCGUCAAGGCAGUCAGUGUGCUGCGUGACGCACUGGAGACAGGUUCACGCAGUCCGGUUGGCGGUGAUGGUCCUAUCGUUGACGGCUCGUAUUAUGCUACCUUCCUCUAUGUGACGUUCAUGCAUUAUUUAGUAGCUGGCCGCUGAAAAGGCCUCUCGAGAUGCUGGUGGUCGUGCUAUGCGUGUACCAGCUUACUGUGCUUACUGUGUACCAGCUACUACAGCUACAUUGUGCCGGGCCACACUACUGCAGGGCAGGCGCGUGUGCUUACAUUUCUUUGUCUGCGUGAAUGAUUGGAUGUAUGAAUGAAUGGAAGGUGUGGUUAACAUGAAUGAAAGGUGUGGUUAACAUGCCCCUGGUUUGGUUCGGUUCGGGUGGUGGUAUCUUUUUGAACACAUGUAGUCUGGUCGAGUGCCGGGGGCCCUUAGCAGGACUGAAGCACAGUUCAAGACGAGGCGUGUGGAUAUGUCUGCUUGUCUGAACGAAGGAAUGAAUGAAUAGACCGGGUGUUAAAAUUGUGAGCGACUUGCCAUGCAGACACACCUUUGGUUCUGGUCGGUUCGGGUGAUGGUAACUUUUCACACAUACACACACAAUGAAUGUAUGGGUGAAUGAGUACGGAGUACGGCAGUACGGAGUACAAGCAUGUACGGAUUUGAAACCAACAAACACACGAGAGAUAUUUGUAAGUGCUCCCCUUGUUUUGUAAAGUUCCUUCAACUCCCGCGAUUCUGAAUGCGUGCCUGAGAGUUUGGGGGCAGACCCUGCAAUUGGUCUAGAUUGCUCGGUAGAAGGGUUUAAAUUGACACCUGGGACAAGUUGAAUUGCCGGGACAGGCCCUUGAAUUGGCCUGACAGGGAUAUGAAUUGGCCUGGCAGGGACAUUCCGACAGUCAGAAUUGGCCUGUCCGGGUGCCGAAUUAGCCUGGCGGGACAUUCCGUCAGUCAGAAUUAGGCUGACAGGGUGUCGAAUUGGCCUGGCAGGGACAUUCGGACAGUCAGAAUUAGCGUGUUCAGGGUGUCGAAUUAGGGAAGCACGGGAAUUGUGCGACCGGGGCAGUCAAAAGAAUUGCUCUGCCCGACAGUUUGUCCUACCCUCUACUGUGCAUGAACCUGCGUGGCUCAGCGUUGUAAAAUGUUGUAAGCAAACGUAGCGCAGUGCACAUUAAAAGUUUCAUUUCAGCUCACAAAUUGAAUUCAUUAAUUCGCCUAUUACUCCGUCCUUGCAGCUGCUCUUACAUUACAAUUGCACAUAAGGGCGCUCCGGUGGUCUUGUUUUGCGUGGCCAAGGCGCCCUGUGCAAUAAUAUUUCCUGGAAUAUGUCAUAACGGAUAAUUAUGCGAUGUGCAAUUUGCGAUUUUUUCCUUAAUAAGGCAGGAUGUAAUAACAGAGAGCAAGGCCUCGCCGUGACAGACCGUGACGCCUUGUCACGCAUAUUUUCUGCCGGCGACCUUGUGUGCAGGUGUCGCCUACGCGCUGUUCUGGCUGCCGGAUAAAUUUAUAAUUAUAAAAUACAUCCUAAAAUACAUGAUUUAUUUCUCGUAUUCUUCUCCUUGGGCUCUUGCUUCGUUGGUUUCUUUGUGUUACGGUAUGCUGCGGUGUGCAUACGUGCAUUCGAAGACGCAAGCAGCCAGCCUGUCUAUGUACGCGCUGGCUACAAAUCUAGCUACGUCUUUGAGCCAGGUAGGGUAGAUACGCCAUACAUACGGCUUGGUGAGGACUGAAACUGAAAAGAAAAGGCUUCUACUCUCCGUCCUGCUGCUCGCUGAAUGACGCGGGUCGGCAUCGCAUGAUGAAAAAAGCCAUACAUACACCUCCAUAUCGAUGUCAAGCUUAAGAACAAAACCGUGCGUGCAUGGGUUCGCUUGCAUGAGGUCGUCAUCAUUCACUUCGCCGUGUCCGCCGUACACUCGUGUAACGGACCUAUCUAAGUAUCCUACUUACCACAAUCCACAAUGUGAUAACUAACACACACACAUACAUACAUACAUACAUACAUACAUACAUACAUACAUACAUACAUACAUACAUACAUACAUACAUACAUACAUACAUACAUACAUACAUACAUACAUACAUACAUACAUACAUACAUACGCACCUGGCCCGCAUGGUGCCGGAGCGCUGUGGGUGUGGAGGGUUCGGCAACGCCAGCAACCAGCACUGCUCCCCACGCAUGCACCACUUCUGGGAGUGCCCCGUCGCACAAGCUGUCCGGGAGCAGAUUGAUCGACACAUACAGCCCUCCCAGGAGGCAGCGACAGGCGGCAUCACCCGGAAGCAGCUGUGGCUGGUCCAAGCCCCGACCGGCUGCGAGCAGGCCCCCUGGGAUGUGAUCGCCCUGGCAGCCCUGUCUGCCAUGGAGGUAGGCAGGUGUUGUCUGCGAGCAGCCGGAAGGCGACUGGAAAGGGCGGCUAACCCCGCGACAGAACAGCCAGAGCAAGCGCAACAGAUCCAGGCGCAAGGGCCCCAACAGCGGCGGAUAACGGACUUCUUUCACCUGGCCAACGGAGUGAGACCGCACGAGGGGCCGCCGCUGAACGCGCCGGUACUCGAGGAUCAAACGCAGGGGCCCAUCGCGGGACCGGGGACGGCAACAGCAGCAGCAACAGCAGCAGCAACAGCAGCAGCAGCAGCAGNNNNNNNNNNNNNNNNNNNNNNNNNNNNNNNNNNNNNNNNNNNNNNNNNNGGGUUUUGAGGUGGUGGGGGUGGUAGGGAGGUCGAGAGGGAGGUUGAGGGGAUAGGUUGCGAGGGGGGCGGGAUCAGGGAUGGGGCUUGGGGGGGUGCCGCGCAAGGGGACAUGGGGGAGGGAGGGUUUAUUUGCCUGGGGGAGCCGUACCGGCGGAGGGGGGGGAGACCGGGGAAAGGGCGGGGAGAGCCGGGGGGGGAGGGGAAGAGGUAGAGAGUACACCAAGAGGAUGUAGGGUUGAGGAGUGGUGAGUGGAAACAGGUGGCCGUAGCGAGGGCGCGGAUGAGGGGGAGGUGGGCACCCAGAAGGGGGGGCCGUACUCGAAGGUGCGCGCGUGGUGCAGGACUAGGUUCUUCAGGGUACGAGACCGGGUUUUUCGUGGUGCGGCGUCUAGGUGAGAUAGGAUCUUGGGAACCAGCCGUCUUGGUAGAGCGGUAUUGGGGGGGCGCCGAGCUGGCUACCCUCCCCCCCUGUGGUUUCCGGAGGCUUGAUCGCCCUGCGUUGCCGCAGGGUCUUCCCGGUUGAGUACUUUUCAAUUUAGACCCAGUGCUGUGGAAGGGCGCGGACUUGUGCGGUGUUACCCCCUCGACGGGGGCUAUCUCCCCUGGACUAGCCCGGGGAGGGAGAGGCGGAGGAGGGUAGUAGUCUCAGGAGGCUGUUUGGCGUCUUGUGGUGUGAGCUCUUUGCGCUCUUUUUUGCGUGAGGAUUUUUGAGCUUGGUGACCUCCCCAGCCCGGGAAGACUCGUCGGGCUCCCGGUCGCCCAAGUCCUGGUAGCGAGCUCUCUGAGAUGCUCGGUUCGUUCGGUCGGCAGGAAGAGCCCCCCAGUUGCGACUUCGUUUAUGUUAGGAGACCAACGGGCAUAGAUCCCGUCUAGUUGGAGCGCCAAACAAGCGCUGUUGCGUGCCGGCCGUCGUUUCCCGUGCGGCCUGACCCGGGGGCGGAGUGCAUGAGACUAACCAGCCGUAUGCACCCGCCCCCCGCGCUGUGCUUCGGCCCUGGGCCCCCGGCUUUUCAGCCCACAGUGUAAUCAACGUCAUACAUACAUACAUACAUACAUACAUACAUACAUACAUACAUACAUACAUACAUACAUACAUACAUACAUACAUACAUACAUACAUACAUACAUACAUACAUACAUACAUACAUACAUACAUACAUACAUACAUACAUACAUACAUACAUACAUACAUACAUACAUACAUACAUACAUACAUACAUACAUACAUACAUACAUACAUACAUACAUACAUACAUACAUACAUACAUACAUACAUACAUACAUACACAGUGUGUGUGUGUUACGUGGUCUUGGGUUGCGUUCCCCGUACCUGCAAACCGCCCAAUACGAGCCGAGGGCUCAAGGGCUGCCAGAUCGCCUAUAAGCACCAUCCUACCUCGCACUUCAGACAAUCCCAAUGGCAUACUCCAGGCCGGUUCCGGCCCGGUUCCGACCUAACGGGUCCAGUUAACGAGAUGGGUAACCGGUCGGUAGGAUUACCGGGCGAACCGUUAUCCGUCAACCGUCCCCAGUAAUCGGUAACCGAUGUCGGUAACCUGGCAUGAGCAAAAAUGCAUUUCUGAUUGCAACCAGUUUCUUUGUGACAAUGCCCAUUGUCACAAGGUUCAUGCCCACGUGUCACAACCCGACAAGCUUGAGGAGGUUAAGGCAAUGUGAAUGCCGGGUGACAGGGGUGACAGUCUUGUGCAGGCACAUUUGGAGACUAGUUUACACUGAGAUUGGGGUGAUGUUGGAUUAGAAUACUUGCAGUUCAUGAAAUUGAGGAAAUGUGUUGCAUAGGCAUAUCCAAACGUUUCAGAGGGACGUUGUUUCGCCCGUAACAAACUUGUUACGGGCGAAACAAACUGGAUUUCCACAGUCCCACCACUCAAAGAGCUCCCCACACCAUCGCAAAGUCCCUUUUUUAUUACAGACACAUGUAACAAGUUGUCAUAGCUUGAGAUUGUCGAUAUAUGACUGCUGGAUUGUGACCAGGCCAUCUCCUUACAUGUCUUGCUGCACCAGCAUGAGCAGUGAUCCCUUCUGUUCAAAAUUUUCAGGCAACAUCGCAAUCAGGCAAAACAUUGUGCCGAAUCUGCCGUACAAAGAGUGUUCAAAGCUUCACGCUACUAACAGACGAAUACAUAAGCAUUCGUUUACCUUGAAGGAAUAAAGGAAUAUUAUAGCUUCAUACAAAUUCGCCUAUCAGCAACUCUCCCUAGUCGUUCAAAAGUUGCUUGAAGAUUCUACCAUCUCCAUACUAUGAAGGAGCGCUUCUUCAUUUCUUUAUUUUAUCUGAACCUUAACGUAUCCUUCCAACACAAUGUCCAUGGACAACGGUAAUGAGGUCGGCGCCUACGAGUUUGACCGGAACGCCCUGGACAACAUCCCCGGCGGCGACAAGGUCGCCCACGCAAGAAGUACAGCCAGCAUCGUCCAGUGGAUGAGCUUGGAGUACAUAAGUUUGCCAGGGCAAACAAUCUAAGUCAAUUUACCGCGUGCCAAUUGGAGGAUGCCUUGUCUCAAAAGUUUGUCCUAGCAUAGCUUGCGUAGCUAGUAUUGCCUGGUUUUAGUUGUUGCAUGUAAGCUUGUGAGUUGGUGGCCUGGUUCAUGCUUAUGGGCGACAAUUGAAAUGCCGGGACAAUGACUUAUUAGGGACAAUGACACGGCAUUUCACGCCCUCAAAGCGGGAACAAACGCUAAAACUAAAUACAUACAUAGUUCUAAAUCUUCUACUAAAAUUUUCCUGCAGCGUUAGAGGCCUUUAAUUAAUAUUGGCGAACGAUGCUUCCCGCGCUACCGGGAUACUCCCUAUGGCAUAAACAUGCCGGUUACCGACCGNNNNNNNNNNNNNNNNNNNNNNNNNNNNNNNNNNNNNNNNNNNNNNNNNNNACCCAACCGACCGUUAACCCAACUGAUCGUUAACCCAACUGGCCGUUAACCCAACCGACCGUUAACCCAACCGGGCCGUUAACGCCAUUCAACCGGCCGGUUGGGUUAAUGGGCCCCAAACGGUCGGUAACCGGCAUGUUUAUGCCAUAGCAAGUGAUAAAGGAUACUAAUGGGCCCCAAACGGUCGGUAACCGGCAUGUUUAUGCCAAAGCAAGUGAUAAAGGAUACUAACCACCAAAGGGAACGAUAGAGUUGGGGUGGGACCAUAUACGUUCCAGCAUCCUUGCCAGACGUUCAGGUCCCCCCUUCAUAGCGUCACCACAAUGUAAUCCCCGGCAAUUAUCAGUCAGACAUACGCGGGCUGGAACCCGUUAUAAAAGAAACAAGUUUUCAAGUUUGAAAACAUGUCUUGAAUUACUGCAUCGAAUCAAACAUGCAUACCGUCAAAAAGAUAGAACACUGAUAACACGCAGAAAGACCUGCCUGCCUGAUGGGUUUUGCGGAGGAUAAUGGGAUAUGCGGAGGAUAAACAAGUGGACCAACAUCAAGGACAGCUGGCAACAAUACAUGUCGCCGUACGACUUUAUCGCAUUCACCACCAUUAUUCUAGGAAUGAAGAUGAGAAGCUAGCUGUGUGCCAUCGGCUACAUCCACGCACACUGCCUGCACCGCCUUGUCCGAUACCGCUGUUUCCGAUUUUUUGGGCGGGGCCCCAGCGCGAAGCGCCCAGGGGGGCCCCGACCUGUAGGAUUGCCCAUGUCCGUGUGUGUGUGUGUGUGUGUGUGUGUGUGUGUGUGUGUGUGUGUGUGUGUGUGUGUAACGGACCAAACAUAAUAUCUCGCCUGGCUGAAACGCGUUAUAGGUACUAUACAGCAUUCUCUAUUGCAAGGUAUCUCGCAUGUAGCCAACAAAAAUCGUAUGAGCGCAAACAAGUUUGGCUGCCUCAAUUGACCGAGGCCAAAGUCACAUCAACGCCUCUCGCGCUAAAUUUCAUCGCAAAAGGUACCGCGUAUCUCAUAUUUGAAUUCUUAGAUGACGGCGUAUGAUAACUCGAACUCCCAGGCCUUGAGUGUGUAACGGACCAAACAUAAUAUUUCACCCGGCUGAAACGCGUUAUCGGUACUAUACAGCAUUCUCUAUUGCAAGGUAUCUCGCAUGUAGCUAACAAAGACCGUAUGAGCACAAACAAGUUUAGCUGCCUCCAUUCACCGACCUCAAAAGUCACAUCAACGCCUCUCGCGCUAAAAUUCAUCCCGAAAGCUGCCGCGUAUCUCACAAUGGAAUUCUGAGAUGACGGCGUAUGAUAACUCGAACACCCAGCUUGUGUUACCAUUUGCCGGCAUGGGCAAUCCGACUUGCCACCAGCAGGCCAACAUAAUUUGCUUUCAUUUCUCUAUGAAAUACANCAGCUGCUUGUUUGUACAUUUACUUUGGCCAAUGCACGGGGGCCUCCUGAGACUUGCGGUGUGCCCCGAUGAAGCCCGCGGCUGUGGGGCGGAUUGCUGAGGCCGCUGGCGCUUCGGGGAAAACAUCACAGACAGCACCGAAAAUCACCCAGCUUUCGUUACAUUUGCCGCACGGCAUUCCGACUUGCGUUCUCCGCACUGUCCAUGCGGCAUGCACCCGUAAUUGCCGGGUCAGGCAUGCACCCCGGAAUGCCGGGUCCAUUCCGGGUGCAUGCCCGGAAUGGAUGCGAUUCGCGUGGAGCCCGCAGACGUUGCUGACGAUUCCGCCGGUGCAAGCUUAGCUCUCACACCAUCAGCACUGCUGCAACAAAGCACAUCUCCCAACCGCGUUGACACUACCCAUCAAUGGUCACACUUGCCACCCUUGCUACCGGCCUGUACGGAUGCAGAGGGGCCCCGCCCUUUUUCCGGCUUCCUUGAAGCCGACACCCAACUUGUCUCUCCCUCCCUCUCCCUCCCUCUCCCUCCCUCUCCCUCUCCCUCUCUCCCUCUCCCUCCCGCUCCCUCCCUCUCCCGCUCCCUCCCUCUCCCUGUCCCUCCCUCCCUUUCCUCCCUCUCCCUCUCGCUCCUGGCAAUAGCACAGCAUCACGGCCUGCCCGGCCCCAUAGCUGCCGCUGCCCUACUACUACCCCCUCGGCCAGCUGCGCGCCGCAGCGUGCGGCUCUCAUUACCUUCUCCUCCGUCCUCCCUCCUCCAUGCUCGUCCUCCCUCAAUCGAUCACUCCUUUCUCCCGGAGGAUCAGCGCAGACUCUUCGCGGUUAGCAGGCUUGCGGCCAUUAAAAAACUGUGUGAAAACGGAUAAGGGGAAUCUAUCAUUAUCUUGACAACAAGGUUGAACGAAGCAAGGAACACGCGGUAGCUUUACGUAGUAGUAGUAGUAGUAGUAGUAGUAGUAGUAGUAGCUUAGCUGCGCAUGAGUGUGUGCGUGUGCGUGUGCGUGUGCGUGUGCAACUCGACGCACGGGGUUUUUAAGCACCACAGCUUCAAACCCCCCCGAUAGGUUUAGGCUCCGAUCCAAACUUACGGCCUUACCUGCAUCCAGUACCGCUGGCGCUUGUUAGAGAACCUUUUUGUGGUUUCAGGAGGGAGGGAUUACCAGCGACAAAAAAGGCAGAGGCAGGUAGAUGUUAAGACCUUUAGGAAGCAAGAAGCAAGGCAAUCAAGAGGACAACAUCCCUCUCCCACACGGCAGCACGAGUGGGUAACUAGCUACCGUACUGAUACGAUGAACUGGUGGUCCAAUUUGGUGAUUGGCGUCACAUCACCAAGCCGUAUUAGCCGUAUAAAUGAACGCAUGCUUUACGGGGGUGUCGUCACUAAUUGCCGUGCCGAACAAUACACCCACAUUUCCCUAAUCUUAGGGAAGAUUGGCAAAACACAUUUGAUUGGCACCUUCACCGGUACGGCAUUGGCCGUGCGCACCCUCGUUUCGGGCAGCGGGGCAGCAACCUCUUUCACUGAUUUCAGCCGAGAGAGUGUGAGAGAGCGGAGCCCGCUGCCGUGGGCCCAUUUCUGGAAAAUUACCACUAUACGAGACGCUUUGUUACUGAUAACCGGAAGCCUAGAGCAAUAAUAUAAAUGUGCCGGUACAAGCACUGGAUGGGGAUGCCGCAACACACGGCCUCUUAUAUACCCGCCAAAUCGUACGCUUCCCUUUCUGCGUCUCCGUUUGGGAGUUUGGGUGUCAGAAAGUAAUAGGCCGGCUGGUCGGCGAAGGGACUCCGGAAAACCAGCAGUAUGUACAGCGCGGAUAGGGGCCGCAGGCGUAAGUUUGCGUUAACUAAAAAAACGGUGGCGGUUUGCGUUAAUAAUAAAAACGGUGGCCGAUGUCAUGAAAACGUCCCCCGCCCCGCCCAACCAACUCAAAGCCGGCCCCUUUCAAAAAAGGUGAACCAGCACGUCCUUGGCGACCCUUGCGCCUUCGGCUCGUAUGGGUAGUUUUACAGGUAUGGGGUCACGCACCCCCAACCACGUAACACACACAAAAAAAGGUGAGGGCGGGUUCAUACUUUUAGGUCAAAUGAACUUCUUGGUUGUGUCUUACUCAUUAUGCAGCGCGUUCGUAUCAUAGAUUUCGUCUAUCAAAACCUGCCAAGCUCGCUCACUCCGACCUACCAGUCGGCAACCUGCGAGAGUGUGAGCCCGGUCUUGUCACGCAGCUCCUCGAUUUCCUUAUCCUGCAUGCCGGCACGCAGGGAAGCUUUUUUAUAUUUAAGAUAUUUACAAAUAGAGAUGCGUGCAUACGUCGUUCAUGUUUGUGUAUGUAUCAACGUAUACCGCGAUACUCACGAGGCAGACAGGGGCACGGCGGGCGAUGUCGUGCAGCAGUUAUGUUGAGAACUGGCAACAUCAGCAGCAGCAGGAGACCACACACACGCCGGGCAACGGCCGCGGCCAGGCAUACGUAUACGGCAAGGCAUAUACAUAUAGCAAAAUGCACAUGGCCAAUGAGAAGAAAUAGGCUUGUGCAAGUAUGUAUGACGGUACGUCGGUAUUUGGGCACGUCGGUAUGUCGGUAUAUCGGUAUGUCGGUAUAUGUAUGCCGCGGGAGAGCGGGCGAACGAAGGAAGCCCACUCACGCUCGGAAAAGGCCACACCAAGUUCGCCGUGUACCAGUUCAUAAGCAUGGUGUUGGCCGCCGUUGGUAGCAGCUUGAUAAGAAUUUAUGUGCAGUGGGGAUGUAUUUAUAUACACAAGUUCAGCCAAGUAGCUAAUUAGGUAGAUACGUCCAGCGGCUAUCGAUAGAUGGGCGGCUUGGUAGCAUACCUUGGGGGAUGUUUCCAUGGAUAGAAGAUGCAUGGUCAUUAAAUUAAACGACUAGUUCAGGGUACAAAGACAUCCGCAAGAGAGUCACCAACGUAGCUUAGGCGUCCUUAGACUGGAGCAACCUGAAUAAAAAUAGGUUCCAGCGCUGAAGAGGAACAGGACCAAUUAUCAUCGGCGCAUAAUGUAAUGGAAUGUUGUAGGAGAUCAUUAUCAGCGUGCUGUGUUGUAAGUAUAUAGUACGGGCGCCGCAGAGGCUUUCGCACCUGUGAAACGCUCGGUAGACGAAUCGCCGCCGCAGCUCGCGUUGAACCUAUUGUCCUCAAAUCAAGGCGGCGGGACUUUUGACCCAAUAUAUAGUAAUAUACAGUGUUGUACUAGCUUCCUGCACUGCUUCUAGCAUUUUCGGACCUUCAACAUGAGCGCCAUGCCACUCCAGUUUUCAUAUGAACAGUGUAAAGCCAAAGCAGCUGCUCGGAAAUCAGCUACUAUUUCAUCAAUCUACAAGUAAUCCAUAAGCGAAAUACUUUAAAAUUACAGGAAUUCAGUCCUCAUUAUUGCCACUGCUGGGAAGCCUGACGAUUCGACGCCUUCCCGUUUGACCGCCCAAAGGUUGCCCAAGGUACUCUGAUAGAAAUGGAACUUUUCCUAUACCAAGCAAAUUAUGAAAAGGAAACAUUUUUUGAAAAUAGCAUUGUCCAGCUUGGGAUGAACAUGCUUCCACCGUAUGAGAGGCCUGGUGAGGCUCUGCUCGCGCGUAGCUACCGCUGAAAGACGGACUGCCCUGCCCUUUUACACACACAUCACAACAAAGAUUAUGACGGCUCAAAUAGUAAGCGAGCAACGACAAGGAGAAAAAACCAACAUUCAACGCCAGUUUGCUGUAUCUAAGGCCAGCAGCUAAGGAUGUUGUGAAAACGACGUUGAACUGCGAAGAGACAUCUUGACAGCGUAUCAUGGUGUCCCUUACACAGGCCACCGCGGUAUUGACCGCACCAAACAAGCGAUCACACAAACAUAUUGGUGGCCAGGGCUUGACUCUGACGUUAAAGAACACGUCAAAACAUGCCCCCAAUGUCAGCGUAACAAAGCAACAAAUGCAAAGCCGGGUGGAUUACUGCAGCCCCUUCCCAUUCUAACGGAGGUGUGGGAAAGCGUGACAGUGGAUUUGGUUACACAGCUACCGACAACCCGCAAUGGGCACGAUGCGAUUGUAGUGUUCGUGGACCGGCUGAGCAAAAUGACGCACUUUGCUCCCACACACACAACCGCCACAGCUGAAGAUGUAGCCCGCCUCUUUGUGGCUACCGUCUUCAGGCAGCACGGCUUUACAAAGAACAUUAUUUCAGACCGGGACUCUCGCUUUCAUCGUAAUUUCUGGAAGGAAACAUUUCGCCUGUUGGGCGCCCACCUCAAUAUCAGCACAGCCUUUCACCCGCAAACAGACGGGCAAACGGAACGCAUGAAUCGCGUUCUGGAAGAGACACUCAGGCACUACAUCUCACCCACUCAAAAUGAUUGGGAUGAGCAUUUGCCACUGAUUGAGUUUGCCAUAACCAACUCAAAACAGCGAGCAACGGGGACAACCCCCUUGAAUGGUGGUCGGCAACCAAAAGUGUUCCGGUUGACCUUCACCUAAAAACCAAGGUGGUGCCUGCCGCACAGAAGCAAGAAGCGAUGCUUCACGAGCAUAAAAGCAAAGCUAAAAAGUUUCUCUUGGCUGCGCAACAAGACCAGAAGGAAGACGCCGACAUGCAUAGGCGUCCAGUGUGUUACGAGGUUGGGCAGAAAGUGCUGUUAAGUACCAAAAAUAUUACAUUAAAUUAAAAAACUCCUGGAACCUAAAAGCUGAUGCCCAAGUUCAUCGGCCCAUACACGGUUGUCGCUCGCGUGGGCAAAGCCGCGGUAAAACUGGACUUACUGGCGGCCUCCCGCCUACACCCGGUCUUUCAUGUCUCUUUGUUGAAAUUGAAAUGUUGAAAUUGUACAAAGAAGACGUAAAGCGACAGCCACCGGCGCCACUCGUCAUUGAGGGUGAGCCGUACUUUAUGGUCGAAGCCAUUGUCGACCAUCGUGAUGUUUCAGUCCGAGGGGGACGCGGGAAAGACAUGUCGAGAGUAUUUGAUUAAAUGGGAAGGUUACGACUCUAGUCAUAAUACCUAUGAACCAGAGGAAUCUCUUCGCCAGUCUACUCCCUUCUACCCCGAGAACGCUGAAUGCACACCAACUCGUACAAUCACCGAUUAGUCCACGUCUCUCGGAGAUCAGAUAAGGGGAGCAGCGAAGGCAACCAUUUCAAAAGGAAACUAUCGCUUUAUCUUUAUUACAUAGCUAUAAUCCAAACAUAGGCCCGCGGGUGUACCGUACUCUGAAAGUUCCGGUGAGACUAGAUGUGUAACGACGCAAAAGGCCCAUCUGAGCAUCCCGGGUUUCGCCUUUGCUGGGUUACAAGAUUUGUCGAGAGACAUGAGAUUGGAUGGCUGAUAGACUCCGCCUAGGAGCCCGAGAUUGGCGGACAGUCAUACUGAGCCUGAGACCUGGGGUUAGCUGACAGGCUGACGAACGUGCGUUGCAAUCUUUGUGGGUCUCGAAAACCCUGCUAGUCUCGUCAUAAGGCCCUUCUGCGUGUCUUUCAUAAUCAUUUUCUCUCAGGCUGACAUGUUUGUGCCUCUGGCGCAAAUGGUGGUGAGCACUCGCAUCUACUCAUGUUGUACCGGCCCUUCAUUCCAGCUGUGUCUUAUUACAAUUCCUGCGACUUGUGAUCGCCACCAGAUCACCACCGAUGACACAAGAAUAUGCAGUCUCAGGGCUAGCCUGUGACUUUAAACGCUUAUCUGCCUGUCCGAGCGCACGAAGCCACUGCUGUCACAGUCAGAAAUGUAUGUAGUGAAGCCACAGCCACCGAAUGUACUACGCACAUUAAUUAGUACACACAUCUACGCAAUAACGUCCUUUUUUUAUCCGUAAACAGCAUUAGUGAGGAUCUCCAGACGGAAGACAGGGUACAAGAAGGUUGAGAAAUCGGAACAGCGGUGGGGACCUGGGCAGAGUUGAUGCACCUGGGAUGUGAAAUGAUGCGUUUCCUGCGAAAGCCAUCGAGAGCCGUCUUACGUGGUGACGGCUGAUACUAAGCCGACGGCCAGAUAAAUGUUUUUUACAAAAAAACGUAAUUCCACUUACGGCGCAACCAUCGUGUGUACAUAGCGUGCGGUGUCACUUUCUGAGACUCUGGCCCAUGAACAUUUCCCCAUCUCCCCUCCCCUUUUCCACUCCACCACACCUUCACUCGCACACUCGCACGUCCACCGUGACGGCGCCAACACAAGCACCAGCUGUUCUCUGUCCCCUUGGGUCUUACACAUACUCGAUGAACUUUCAACCGUCAUUUACACUGAAACUUCGUUAGCUAGGUCCUCAAGGUGAUCUCACUAUGCCCCCAACGACCCGAUGCUCUCGCGUGUGUUCAGCGUUGCUUGGGCUCUCACACGCAGAUGACAUGUACCUCCAUCACAAUCGCCACAGGCCCUCCAGCGCACGAAAUAUGAGUAGCCUCAACAAGAAUUUGUACAAGAGCUGCAGUGGCUGCAGUUGCAGGAUAGGGUGGUGAUUUCCAUAGUCGCUUUCAGGGGGCUGUUGUGGGAACGAUUCCGAUGAGGCGCACUCGUUUAUCGAUUUAAAUUUCGGCGGGAGAUUGUUGGGAGUCCAUCGUACACUACAGGAAUUGGGAACCUUAUGCAAUCUCGCUCUUUUAAGUGUGGCGGAAGAAGAAACGCACGAUCUUGCAAGUUACAUAUACAUGCGAAAUUUUUUGUCCUUUCUUCUUCGUCUUCUUGAUGUGACGAUGUGACGAACACACACAUCACACGCGGCAACACACACACACACACACACACACACACACACACACUGUUGUAUCCUGUAAAGGUUUUCUGCAACGGUUUGGGCGCCGAAUCCUAACUGUCGGUGGUUAUCUCGUCCACUCCGAUUUACCGAACUUCAAUAUUAUUAACUAACACCCGUCAAUUCCGCGGUCGGUGAUUACAGGUUAAAACUAAUACUGCUAUUAGUUUAAUUGCGGCUACUGUUAGCUGCGGCGGCUAAAGCGACUACUGUUAGUCGUCCGCCACCUUAAUGCCGCACUGCUGCGGAAGUCCAUACCUGCGUAUGGGUGGGGGUUUUACCUGCGUAAAGCUGGGACCUGCGUCCCAGUUUCGUCUGACCGAGCGAGAGUAGUUCCUGCGAACUAUGGCUUCUGGAUACGGCGCCGCCCAAUCGUACUGGGGAUUCUUAUCGGCGCGAGGCCCAAGUGGAGUCACUGAUGACUAUUUAUUCAAGACACUUGUCUCAAUCGGUAUCUUUCGAUGCCCCCAUUAUGUGGUUGUGUCGUCUGAACUCUACAACAAAUCUGGUACGGACCAGUCUCAUUUCCGCUUCCGCACAUUUUCUUUCAAUUGGCACUAGUAUGAACUUUCUUUGUGAAGAGACUACGUCGGCCGAUUCGGAAGAUUUCGGUCCCUUGGCGACUUUUGCUGCUGACCUCGGCAAUGCGGUGAUGGCUGCCGCCGCAUCCGCGGGUUGGUAGAUUCGCCCUACGUUUUGUUGAAGUAAUCCUAGUUUUUCCUCCUCUAACUGUUUUUAGAUUUGCAGGCCCUCUCGUUGUAGCGGGUUCUGCUAUUCCUACCUCUGCUGCGAUCCCUCGCUUGCGCGAACUUGUGUACCUCUCCCGUGGUGCAUUGCAAGCAAUCGAGGCAGUCCAUCGCUGUGCUGAGGAAGUCUUACUUUUCGGUAGGGUUACCUUUGCUACCUCUUUUUACUUGGCUUUUCGGGUUGGGUCGCCUCGCCAUGUUGCCUGCCAACUCCGGAAACGCGCCUUUACCUGUCCUCGGGGAUGGUCAGCAGGGAGCUUUAAGUGUAGUUCCCCCUUCCUGGAACGUAGCGGAUGGGGUCAGGCGAAAUCGCUGGGGUCCGCCGGAUUUAGUCGCUGAGGGUUGUCCCGCGCGGACAGUCCCUAUCGCUGCCCCGGUGGUUCCUGUUAACCCUGUCGCUGCCCCAGUGCCUCACGUAGGACAGGAUCCCACGCCUGUCGCCGCUGUUCCGCCGCCGCCGUUGCUUGUAGCCUCCUCCGCACACGGCGCUGGCGGCGCAGAAAGGGCUCCUACGGCUGCUGCAUUCUUACCAGUGCAGGACGUUGAGGUACUUAGACUUUCCGUCCCAGUUCCUAGAUUAAACUUUUCUUCCGACCUUCGAUCUCGCGAGUUAGGUCGUGCUGCGGCAGAUAGUACGCGCGCGUUCGCCAGGGAUGCGAAGCAGUAUCUUCANNNNNNNNNNNNNNNNNNNNNNNNNNNNNNNNNNNNNNNNNNNNNNNNNNNNNNNNNNNNNNNNNNNNNNNNNNNNNNNNNNNNNNNNNNNNNNNNNNNNNNNNNNNNNNNNNNNNNNNNNNNNNNNNNNNNNNNNNNNNNNNNNNNNNNNNNNNNNNNNNNNNNNNNNNNNNNNNNNNNNNNNNNNNNNNNNNNNNNNNNNNNNNNNNNNNNNNNNNNNNNNNNNNNNNNNNNNNNNNNNNNNNNNNNNNNNNNNNNNNNNNNNNNNNNNNNNNNNNNNNNNNNNNNNNNNNNNNNNNNNNNNNNNNNNNNNNNNNNNNNNNNNNNNNNNNNNNNNNNNNNNNNNNNNNNNNNNNNNNNNNNNNNNNNNNNNNNNNNNNNNNNNNNNNNNNNNNNNNNNNNNNNNNNNNNNNNNNNNNNNNNNNNNNNNNNNNNNNNNNNNNNNNNNNNNNNNNNNNNNNNNNNNNNNNNNNNNNNUCGGUGAUUACAGGUUAAAACUAAUACUGCUAUUAGUUUAAUUGCGGCUACUGUUAGCUGCGGCGGCUAAAGCGACUACUGUUAGUCGUCCGCCACCUUAAUGCCGCACUGCUGCGGAAGUCCAUACCUGCGUAUGGGUGGGGGUUUUACCUGCGUAAAGCUGGGACCUGCGUCCCAGUUUCGUCUGACCGAGCGAGAGUAGUUCCUGCGAACUAUGGCUUCUGGAUACGGCGCCGCCCAAUCGUACUGGGGAUUCUUAUCGGCGCGAGGCCCAAGUGGAGUCACUGAUGACUAUUUAUUCAAGACACUUGUCUCAAUCGGUAUCUUUCGAUGCCCCCAUUAUGUGGUUGUGUCGUCUGAACUCUACAACACACACGCACAAUCAUACAUUCGCACACGCGUGCGAAAGGAACCAUCGACUGCCCCUGAGACGGUGACCAAAAUCGGCGGCAGACCGAGGCGCACUCCCGUCCUAACCUAGCCAGUGCAGCAGCUCCAUCACUCUCUUCGUCCCCUUAUCCUCAUAGUCCCCCACAGUAGCAGUACAGCCAGUCAGCCCAGCAAAGAGCGCCGCUAUGUAUAGUGGCCGUACGUCCACCCGCAUGCAGAAUGGAUGUACGGCCAGCACGCGCUUGUGCCGCCAGGCGGGUGCUGCUUCCCUCCGCCAGGCACCGACCCAUGGGUCACAGAUGCGUCGAAUUCGAAAGCGCAUUAAUGUCCCCGCCGUCCCCGCCUCGAUAUUGCGACAUUCGUUCACCACAAACACAAGCACACGAGUCCGACAACACAUGCAGAGACCACAAGAUGGGUCCCACACCGAAGGUUUGCAUGUUCCUGCCAAUAGCAUGUGCACCGUUGCCUUGCCCACAACAAGAUGACCAGGAUCAGGAAAACCUCAUCCCCUACACAUCCAUACAUGAUACACAUACAUACAUAUAUACAUACAUACACGUUAACAUCCUCCACCCCCACCAGGGGCGCGCAUCAUCACUCCGGGUUGCCACAUUCUCCACUGUCGCCUCUGCCGCACUAGCAGCAGCGUUGCAACAGCCGGGCCGCUGUGGCUGCUACUGCCGGCGACCCCCGGUCGCGGCGGCAGCGCCCUCCUCACUCGCUGCUACUGCAGCUGCUGCCGCCGCCUGCUCCUCCUUCGCCUUAGCGUUGUUUGCCUCCGCCUCCCGGAUACCUUGACGGAGACCCAACACUGUUACACCGCAGAGCAACCCACAAAACCACCACCGAAUGGCACACACAGCACAUGGAGUAGAAAAAGCAUCACCAUGUUUAGCACACAGCGUAAAGUAGUACGGUGUGCAGUACGACACAGAGCACACACGGCAGCAGGCCCCAGUGAUGCAGCACAAACCCUUUUCAAGAGAUUUGGGGGAACUUAAGAUUUGGGGAGAUUUGAGGUAGAUUUCAACAUUAAGCAGCCAGGGGGAAUGCGGACAAUACCGAUUGUGUAACAGUGGUGCACGGCGGCUCUCGGCUAACCAUUUCGUACAUUUCCCAUUUUCUUCAUGUACGAUUGAUGUACGAUUGAUGUAAAUUUAUGUUUCCUUGUUCAAGUCGAUACUCUUACCGAUGAACAGGUUGGUGAUGGUCAACAGACUUUCAGCCGCCCCGUGAAGCCAGUCCACAUUAGCCAAGCUGGUGCCGUAAUGGGACUUGGCUGUCGUACAUUCGUACGUUGCCGUACGAGUUAUGCAUGGCACCAGCGGCGAUUUCGGUGGGUGCCAGCAGCGUGACAUACGGUAAGAAGCGAAGAGAGGCGAUCAGUAGAGAUUGGGAUGAAGGAAUAAGCAAGAUGCUGAAGAUGAUGUACAGGAUAGCCUCACAUGGAACAAAUCGCAGAUAAGCCGAAGUCCAGAAUUGACCAAGUCAACGCUCCCAAGUGCUGCGGAAACUGCAAGUCAUCCGUACAGACGCUAAAACUGUGGUACUUUAUCAAUGAUAACUGUCACUGAAUUGUAUAGAGGUGGCGCUGAAAUCUAGAAACGAUCUAAAAACAGGCUGCAAACUACGUCUUUUGGUCAAAUUUUAGUUAUGAGGGACCCGCAGCCUUAUUUACGGGGCCUUAAGCCGAAUUUCGGCUGCGGGUGCUGCGAAGUACUGCGGACCCGCAGUACCCGCAGGAUUUGCCGACCACUGCUUGGAUCAUUGCUGCUGCGUGCAGCGCGGUGGUUUAUACACGAACAGGUCUUAGCUGGGAUCAGCAGUCUUCCUUCCUGCACCCAAACCUGGACAGCCAACCUUAAGCGGCAAAGGCGGGUGCAACGCUGGCUGGGCUGUUCGGGCCCGGACUUGUAAUUCCUCUUCGCGAACUUUUCCCCGUCCCCGUCCCCGUCGUGUUAUACAACGAAGCUUGCAGGCAGAGCUAUGCGGCAGCUGCGGGCUGACCGUCAAAAGCUAAAGGGAUUCCAUGCCCUGACAGCUAGCUAGCCUUAACCGCCGUGGUAGACGGAUGUAACAUGCUUGCACGGGAGGGAGUUAAACAGCAGUAAUAUGUAUGUUCAGGAGACGUGUUACUCCCUCUCACCAUAAAUUCCAGCCGGAAUGGUGGCUCCUACGAAAACCAGCAAGAAGUAAAAGCCGAAAAGGGUCAAACUUGGCGUCUUGCCCGACUUUGUCAGGAAGAAGAGGAAGCAUAGGUAUGGGAAGAGGCUCAUGGCGAAGAGCUGAGGCGCCAGCGACUGCAGACAUACGCCCAAUCCAAGAACUGAAUAAAGCUCAAGCUUGCUGGCUUACACACAUUCCCAAAGCAGCCUCACCGCUGCGUCGACGCUCGGUGCCCAGGCCUGAUCAAACGGAAAGACGUGCGUCGCCAUCGGCUGACGAUGCACCGGGGCUCUUUCCGCUAAUUGGAACGGCCUCCCGCCACCAGGCAUCAAUGCCAUUCGCCUCUUAUUACAUCUUACAGAUGAAUCGCGGACGAGCGGUCUUCUAUUUUGCUCUUGCCGAAAUGCGCAUUGCGGGCCUUGUCGGGGAAUGGUGGCACUCAACAUUUUCAAUAAAGCUACAUAUCAACAUUCCAAUCCGAUGAUAGUGAGUAUGCGCUUGAACGACCGGGAACCUCUCCCGUAGUUACAGGAGUACGACUGUAGCGUGGCGAGAUGGGAGCCAUGGACGCCGUCCAGCCCAUGGAGCUCUCCAGCUGUUCCUCAGAACAAUACCAGAACAUGAUCGGGGGUUUGCCAGAUGCGUGCUUCUCGAUAACUUGAUUGAACACGGAAUCCUGGUUCGCCGACGCCUGAAACUGCGCUAUAAUCGCCAUCCGCGCCUCUUGCGUUUUAGGAUCCACGACAAUGAUUAAAAUUUGACACUGGCCUCGGUAGAUAGUUAGGUUUUACUCAUCCGCGCUUAUCAGUGUUCCGGCAUUUGCGCCAUUCCGCGCAUGCAUUUCACCGCGCUGCUCAUCAAACAGGAUCGAACGUCAACAGCGCUAUGGUAGAGGGGUGAGGCUGCGUUUUGCAAUACUGCGAAGCGACGUCUGUUUGGAUAGCUCGUACCCAUCCCGGUGCCCAUUCCGCACAAGCCACACAUUCACACAUUCAGAAUUUGCUGCCGGAACAUAACAUGCCGCCUUUACCUGUAUUUUUUCUUACACAGCGUUCCAAACAUUGCAUCGACUGCUUCGCUUUCCUGCGACGCGCUGCGGCGCCAUGACGCCGAGGGCCCCUCAGGAGGAACCCGGGGUUCCUCCCUAUCCUAUCGCACCGAGGAACCCCUUCCUUGCCCUCACUCACUCACAAAACCCAAUCGCAGCCUCCCAUAACCCUACCACAUCCUCCACCCAUACUAAGGGGGAGAAGGAGACCUGAAUGUAUGUAUGUAUGUACGUCCCCCCAAUCCCGUUUUCCUCAAUAUUUCGCCCGCCCCACCAUCCCAUUUACACAUGUACGCAUACACCCACACACAUAAACUCAGGCACCAGUGCCAUCGGGUGGCGGCCGCCCACCGGCGGCUUCUUUUGGGACGAGCAUUCAUCGCUAGGUCCCCUAACGGUCGCUUCAGGGAUGGUAAGGCCGACAGUCGAAGAUGCUCCGAAACCCCAACGGAAAAAACCGUACCAAAUCUCAUUGCGCUCGAACCGAUUCAAUGCAAAUCGAGUCAACUCACAUAUCUCGCUUCGGACUUUCAGACGCGAUGGUGUCGUACACAUUACGUCAUAAUGACUUACGGACGCUUCCUGGGAUGUGGUUUCAUUCUCGUUUGUAUUUGGUUUUGGUAACGCAAACCGGAGAAAUGUCUCAACGAAAGGUUUUUUUAUUUAUCUAUCUUUUCCUGUGUGCUGGCUCCCCCCAUCGCAACACCAUUGUGGUACCAGCAGAGGACUUAAGGUCUUUUUACCGCCUCCUUUUCACCCCCUCCUUUUUACCCCCUUCUUUUUACCGCCUUCUUUUCACUGCCUCCUUUUUACCCCCUUCUUUUUACCGCCUUCUUUUCACCCCCUCCUUUUUACCGCCUUCUCUUUACCGCCAAAUGCUAUGACACCACAUCCACCCAGGUGCUGUCGCCAUAAACGCCAAACCCUUGCAACGCAUUGAAGUACACGGCAAGAAUCUCUUUUACUUCUUCUCCCACCAGCCAGUCCCCCUCACGGUCCAUCCCACCAGCAGUGCUUUCAUCGCCGCCAGCGGGACCCGAAACAUCCCUACGUCAGCAACUGCACAACCACCACAACCACUACCAUGGGCCCCACAGCGUCCAGCACAACUGUCAUCACAACUACUACAACUUACACAAACGUCGCCACUUUCUCCACGGCUUCCAACGGUAUCAACCGCAAUCCCCCUGCUGGAGGCGCUACAACCGAACAGCGAAACGCCGUUAAUGGAAAACCCGAAAACCGGCCCCAUCGAACCCAUCACUACAGCCACCGCUGUAACCACCGCUGUAGCCACCGCUACUGCUGAUGAUGAUGAUGGUAGUGAUGAUGAAGUUGAUGACGGGGGUUGUCGUACGGAUGAUGGCGAUGGUGGAGUGGUGGUUAUGCAUAUUCACUUCGGCAUGAGUGGUGCCUUCCGUACGAUGAGCCUUCCCGGACCCCCUCCCUCCGAAACCACACGAUUGGAGCUCAUUAACCGGGUAAUGUGUGCUGGGUUUUAAGGUUUCAGGGGUUUAGGGUCUCUGGCUUGAAGCCCCCUCUGUGUAAACUGCUGCAUUGCUCACCCACAAGCGAACAAGAUCACGUCUGCAGAACAUACGACCAUCGCCAACAUCACAGCUGCCUAUCCGGAGGCUCUGCUUCACAUAUCCUGGCUCCCCAUCAGAUGCAUCCAGCUGCCUCCCCUCACCAUUUCCCGCCCCCCCCCAUCCAGCUGCCUCCCCUCACUAUUUCCGGCCCCCCCCCCCGCCGCCUUCAAGAACGCCUUUUGGUCCGUUCUACUUCUGGUAUACUCUUGCCCUGGCAGCAGCUUCACUCGUUCGUGAUUCGUCUUCCCCCCCCCCCCCCCGGCCGGCCUUCCCCCUACUUUCCCCCCACUUUCCCCCACGUACCUGCACACACAUCAGGAGAUGGGUUUGGUGGCUCACCUAAGCGCCAUGACAGUGACCCACGGGUCACUAGAGCUCUACACCCGCAAGGCGGCGCAGCUUGGACCUGACCCGCUGCGGGAGGAUGCGGACAAGGAGGUUGGUACGGCGGUGUGCGUGUAUGUGUAUGUAUGUGUACGGACGAGCGCUUCAACGUUUGUGGGAAGCUGCAGGCUGAAGGACAUGAUUGCCAGCAGAGCUUCUACCACCAUAACUACCAUUACAACUGCCACCACAACAACUACCAUAACUACCACAACGACUACCGUAAUAGCACUAGGUACAGCAUACCGGAUUGGUUGCCCCUUGAACACCCCUUCAGCCUCGUCGCUGCACCCUAGGCCGGCCGCUUCACCGCCCAAGAAUAUAAUAUUAUUAAUAUAUAAUAAUAAUGUUGUUACAGAGUGGGAGGCUUCUGGGCCGCUUUAUCACAUUGUCAGUUCUACGAUUUAUCAUCUUAUAGCACCGUCCACCACUACCACACUAUACUUCGCCAUACGAACUGUAAGUCCAAGGCGGCGGGUCCAGCCGUCUAGGACCCCUCCUCAUCCAUUCACCCGAACAACCGAAGAGACGGAGGGUUCGGCAAUCACCACCAAUCCAGCGUGCAAAUCUGGUCCAUCAACUGCGACCUCAACUCCACAUCUCAGCAGCUAGCCAUAAUCUCGCGCUCCCGACUAAUUCGGGGGUCUCCCUAGGAAUCGAACCCAGGACCUUAAACCGCGAAUCGCAGUAGUGUCAACCCAGACCAGACCAAGAAUAUGACAUUACCCAAAUUCCAACCGCCAACCGACCCGUCGUACAGCAAAGGCACAACCACCUGAACGUCGCCCCUCCCCCUCCCCCCUACCUCGCAAU